AAAUGUUGUAAAACAAUUAGAAUUAGAGUCAUAAUAAGUUAUUAGAAUCCUAAUAGACUUUGGAUUUCUUAAAGAAGCUUAUAAAUAAGGCUAAUCAAUGUAAAUCAAAUGAAUAAAUUGAUUGAUGUUAAUAAUAUUAUAAUUUUUUUUUGCAAGAGUUGUAAUCCUCAAUAGUGAGACUCCAUUGAUUUUCUUCUGGGUGAGACUCCUAAAAGACCUUAAUGAGACUCUAAGGUUUCCAUCUUUUAUUUGUCGUAUCUUCUCUCUUUCUUUUUCUUUUUUUUUUUCUUUAUCAUAAGCUUCAUUCCUUGUUCCUCUCCUUACACCUUAAAAAUAAAAACCAGAACCCAACUAUUUGAGUGUCGGCAACCAUCCUAGGGUUGUCAUAUAUCAAGAUGUCAAAAUGUUAGCGGUGACACCCCAACCUCUCUCCUUUCCUUUCCCUCUUCCUCCAAUAAGUUUCAUUGGAGAAUGUAGGUGAACCAGAUUAGGGUCUUCAUUGAACCAAUUGAUAAGCAUUCACUAGUCUUGAGACUUAGAAAGAGGCCUCCAUGAUCAACAUUGGCAGCCUCAUGAUCAAAGGGACUCCUUGUAGUGAUUCAUCAGGUGUCUACAGUCUACAGGCUGCAGAGUCCCUUUACAAGAUAUGCUGAUUGGAAGGCUUGGAUCCUUGAUUUGUUAAAAACACGGUUUCCUCUUGUAUUAGAGGAAGAGGACGGUAUAACAAAGAGGGGAGCCUCUACCUCAAUUGAGUUUAUCGUGGGCAACUUUUGGGUCGGGGUCAUGUUUUAUGUGGUGUAGGUAUUUGGUUCAGGGUUGCAGCUUAUGCGGGUUAGGUUGGAUUCAUGGUUAACUUGAACCAAACUUGAAGUAAUAAACAAUCAACUUGAGUCCAACCCAACUUGACCUCUAACCCCAGAUACUCAAACCAAGUCUAACUCAAGUUCAACUCAUCCUCAUUUUUCUAAUCUUGAAUUGAAUUUAGGUUGGUCGGAUAAGACUCAAGUUGAUCGGGUUAAAGAAUUCAAAACCACAAUAUUUUUUAAAGUUUUUUCUAAAUGUAUCAAAAUUUAAAUAUUAAAUCAAGCAAGAUUUCAAGAUGAUAACAAAAAAGUAAAAACAAAUUUACACAGCUUUCUAGAAAAUUGGAAAAUAAUAUGAUAUAAUUAUAAUUUGAUAUUUUUCCUUCAAAAUCUAAAAUAAAAUAAAUAAAAUGAAGAUUAUUAUAUAGAAAAUAUAAAUUAUAAAUAUUAUAAAAAUACUAAAUUGAUGCUGGUUAGGCUCAAGUAGUCUAAAAAUUAGACCGAACCCCAGCCUGAGUAUUAAACAUGAUUCCCCAGAACCGCCCAAAGGUCGGGUUUGAUCAGAUCAAUUCGCCCAUGUUGAACCAUUAGGUUUAACACAGCUGCCACCUUCUUGUAGGUUUCGCUUUCUUUGAACGACAUAUGAUCCUUCCCUGUCCUCCAUUUCUCUCUUUUUAAUAAUAUUCGGUUUCAUAUAAAAGAUGGAAUAGCCAAAAAUAAAAUAAAUAGGGAAAUAAUACCAUCUUCAUCUUUUGCAUCGACAUCAAGUUUCAAUUCUUCCAACAAGUACUUGCAGACCUCAGUUCUGCCUUCUCUGGCCGCAAAGUGAAGAGCCCCUCGUUUGUUCGCAUCCUUAACAUCCGCCACAGUUCCAGCCAAUCCCUUCCCAUCAUCAAGCUGCGCUGCCAACUCUAUCAAACCAAAAUUCAACCCAAAGUGUCAAAUUUUCAUAGAAAAACAACAAACUUAUUGACAUUUCAAAAAACAAAAAAAAAAAAAAACAUACUCUUGAAGAGAUCAAGAUUGCCUGUGCAAGCUGCAUUGAGAAAUUGUUGAACUUUGUUCCUCGUCGCAAGGGCAGCAUAGGCAUCAGGUGCCAUUAUUGGGUGAAAAGGAAUGAAACCCUAAAACCCUUUUUGAAGAUUACAAAAAAAAAAAAAAAACCUUAAAAAGUGGCGGUGAAGCUGGGGUUUUAGUUGAGUUGAUCAGUACUCAGCACUUCGAUGAGGGAGGCUCGGAAGAGGAAUCCGGUCGAUGACGCGCGGCCCGGAUCCUUUUAUGAUUGGGUCCAAUUGUCUAAAGGCUCUAAACCAGCCUUUCCGGGCCGGUCUUGGGCCCUGGACCCCAUAGAGCUGGGAAUUUAACUCUAAUCCCAAGCUCCACUCGAGACAUAUACAUGUCAUUUAUUUAUAUAUAUAUAUUAUUAUUAAAAAAUACUUUUUAAAAUAUGAUAAUUGAAAAAUUAUUUCUGAAUCUAGGAUAUUUUUUUUAAAAGUUAAUAUAAAAUUAUUUUGUUAAAAUAGAUAACUUCAUUUUGAAUUGUCUUUUAAAGAAAUUAACUUUAAAUUUUAAAUUUUACAUUAGAAUUAAUUUCUCAAAAGACAUAUCCAUAUUUUAAAAAACAACUUUAAGUUAUUACUUCAUAAAAUAUCAUAAAUUUGGAAGUGUUUUUUCCAAUGUUUUCAUAAUCGAACCGAUCAUUGAAGCGGAAAAGUUACCAAUUCACGGUUCAUUGGUCGGUCCGAUGAUCGAAAAAAUAAAAAUAAUAAUUUAUAUAUUAUUUAAAAAUUAAAUUUUUAUUUAAAAAUCAGAAAAUUAGUUUCAAAUUAGAAAUUAAAAUUAAAAUCAUAAUUUUAAUUUAAAAUUUAAAUUUUUAAUAUUUAUUUUUAAAUAAAAAACUGAUUUUAAAAUAAAAAAUUUAUUUAAAAUUAUAAUGUUUUUAAUUUUACCAUUAAAUCAUAUAUCAUCCAUAUAAAUCCAUAUAUAAAGGCAUUAAAUCAUAUCUAAUACCAUUCAUGUAAAUCCAUAUAAAAAGGCAUUUUUUACUUUAUCAAUUUGAGCUCACAAUUCAUACAAAAUUGUAAUGUUGCUGUGAAGACUAAUAAAUAAACAAAAAAAGAAAAAUUUAUAAAAAUGGAAUAUUAAACAUAAUAUCAUAAUUAAAAAAAUACAUUAAAAUGAUGAAGGCGCUUUGACCGUAAUUAUCUUAAACAUAUUAACCAUUUCUUUACUUUCCAAUAGCGUAGAAGGGACAAAAAAAACAUCUUGUUGUUUCUUCAACAAUUUAUGAUCUUUAGUGGACCUCUUAAUAAGAUUCGAACUCAGAUGAAGUUCUGACCAUCUGUUAGAGAAAAAAAAAACGAAUGGAUCUUGGGAAUGGUCCAAUUCUGGUUCAACCUAUUUCAAACCCAAUUGACCAGAUUGGACCGAAACCGUGACCAGCCGACGGUCGGACCACCCAAUCCGGUCCCGUUUUUAAAACCAUUAUUUUUUCAACUCUUAUAAAUCCUGAAAUAUUUUUACAAUUACCGUUAUUUAAAAAAAUAUAUAUUUUUUUAGAAAGCUAUAUAGAUAUCAAAUUUUCCAAUAUUACAUCUCUAGGUUGAGAAAAUGCAUACCAUACAUGAAAUUUUAAAAAUAAAAAUAACAUGCUUGUGGAAUCAAAAAAUUAAUUCUCUAAAGGGUAAGAGUUAGGGAUUUAUUUCAAGUCAAUGUAAAUUAAAAAAAUAAAAAUAAAAUGUUGUUGAUUGUAAUUCAGUGAAUUUCACUGGUCUUCCUCUUAUUUAUUAUCAUUUGUUUUAAAUUUUAUCAAAUGCAUCUUCAAUCUUUUUUAUUUGUUAUUUUUAUUUAUCUCCCUUUUAAUUGAAAAUAAAAUAGAUAUAUGAAUGAAAUUUCAAACUCACAGUGGUUAAGAUAGUGUUUGUUUUUAACUUAAUGUUGAAUGCAAUUUCUUUUCAAACUUUCGAUAGUUUAUAUUCAAAUUUUUUUUUUACUUGUUACUUAUUUUUUUUUAAAAUUACUAAAUAAAAAAAUCUAAAAUUAUUUGAUUUUUUGCUGAAUAUUAAAAAUAUCUUUUUGAAAUAAUCAAAAUACAAUUUCAACAUGACUCUCACUCACUCUAUUAUACUUAGUACUUAACGGAAAUAAAAUAAUAAUAAAAAAACAAACAAUUUAAUACUUACUACUAUUAAAUUGUAUUUAUAAUUAAGUUAAAUUAAAUUCUAUUUAUUUUUAAGUUAAAAAAAAAAGUUGCCUUUUAUUUAACUCAAAUCUCAUUGAAUGUGAGUAAAAUUACCUUUAUGUAAUAUAAUAAUACAAGCAACAAGAGAUUUUUUAUAAGUUUAGGAAAUAAUUUAAAAGUAUAAAUAUUUAUUUAUACUUUUAUUUAUUUAUUUCAAAAUCCAUUAUUUUGAAAUUACAUUUUCAUGAUUUAGUUUUAGUGCAUUGUCUUGAAAUCAUUACUCUUUCAAUUUUUAUUCUUCAAUUUGUAAUAUUUUUCAUGCAUUUUAAGGUUUUUUUUUAACUUUUUUUAAUUAUAUAUGUUUCUUUUUCAUUUUAGACAAAUUUUCCUCUCUUUUUUUCCCAAAAUACCCACCUGACGAUGACUACAAAAUGCAUUGUCACUUCUUGUUUGUGAUUGCAAUUCACUCAUCUCUUACUAAGGAACAUGCAUUGUUGCUUCAUGUUUAUGAAUGCAUUUAAAUGAUAUCCUGUCAUAUUCUGUCAGUUUGGUAUUAUUGUAAAUUUUUUGGAAUUUUUUUUGAAUUGUAUUGAAAGAAAAAUUAGCUAAGACAAAAAGUAAUCAAGUGUUUAAAUGGAGAAUAGUUUCAAAAGUGCUAUGAACUUAUCGGUAUGUAAAUCUUUGAUAAAUUAAGUGUCCUAUACUUUUCUGUUUUUUAUUGUUAAAAUAAAAAACUGUGAAUUUAAAGGUUAAUUAAUUAAUAAAAUCACCUAAAAGGAGGGGAUGAAUUGGGCUUUUGAAAAUUUUUAAUAACAUGCUAAAUUUAGAUAAAAAAUAAAUCAAGAAUGUAAAGAGAUAAAGGAUAGAGGAAGCAAACUCAAGAUUUAUGAGGGUUGGAUUAACUAUAGAUUUACUAUCGUGCAUAAAAGUAUUUUGGUAAUUACACAAAGUUGCACAGAGGAUAGUAAAUAAGGUCUUUGAAUUAGACUAAUUGAUUAAUUAGAUGAUCCUAUAUAGUUGAAAAAUCAAUUAGGGUCCAGUUUAGGUUAUAUUAAAUAACUUUGGCCCAUAUGAGCUCAUGUCACUUAAGCCAAGAAGAAACCCUAUAAAUACCCCCUUAAGGGUUAGGAUUUUCAGUUAGUUGCCUUCCACCUUGAUUACUACUCAAAACAUGCUAUUUUGUAGCUUGUAAUUAGCUCUCUUAAACACUCUUGAGUAGUAAUUAUUACCUUUUAACUCGAUUAACAUGUUAGGGACCCUUGCAAUCAGAUUUCUAACAAUUGUGUUAAGUUUUGGUGCUUUUUGAUAGCUUUUUGCCCACCAAAGCAAUUUAAGAAUGAGGGAGAGCUAUUUAUAGUUCAUGGCAAAGCUUUUGGAAGCUUUGAUUUUUGAAGAAAUCAAGCUAUGGAGCCUCAUAAUCCUUUGCCUUAAUCGUUCAAAGUUUACAAGGGAGAAGCAAUGGAGAAGAAGAAAACAGGGGAUGAAAACAGGGGACACAGCUGCAGUCUUUUAGUGCACUUUUGGAGCACUUCCCGAAGUCCAUUCUUUACAUUAUAUAUACCAUUUCGAAGCUCAGAAAGUCAAGAAUCCAAUGGUUCAAACCACGUAUGAUUUGGAGCUGAAAUGAGGAAGAUAUGGACUUCGGAAGACAACUGCAUCAAGCUGAGGGACAAUUUCGCACACCACUGUUUAAGGUGCGAAAUCCUCAGUCCACUGUGCGAAAAUUUCGCACACCUCAAACCAACAUGCGAAAAUGGGAACNNNNNNNNNNNNNNNNNNNNNNNNNNNNNNNNNNNNNNNNNNNNNNNNNNNNNNNNNNNNNNNNNNNNNNNNNNNNNNNNNNNNNNNNNNNNNNNNNNNNGACUAGCAAUAUGUCGGUUGGGGGGAGUGAUUACUACUCAAAACAUGCUAUUUUGUAGCUUGUAAUUAGCUCUCUUAAACACUCUUGAGUAGUAAUUAUUACCUUUUAACUCGAUUAACAUGUUAGGGACCCUUGCAAUCAGAUUUCUAACAAUUGUGUUAAGUUUUGGUGCUUUUUGAUAGCUUUUUGCCCACCAAAGCAAUUUAAGAAUGAGGGAGAGCUAUUUAUAGUUCAUGGCAAAGCUUUUGGAAGCUUUGAUUUUUGAAGAAAUCAAGCUAUGGAGCCUCAUAAUCCUUUGCCUUAAUCGUUCAAAGUUUACAAGGGAGAAGCAAUGGAGAAGAAGAAAACAGGGGAUGAAAACAGGGGACACAGCUGCAGUCUUUUAGUGCACUUUUGGAGCACUUCCCGAAGUCCAUUCUUUACAUUAUAUAUACCAUUUCGAAGCUCAGAAAGUCAAGAAUCCAAUGGUUCAAACCACGUAUGAUUUGGAGCUGAAAUGAGGAAGAUAUGGACUUCGGAAGACAACUGCAUCAAGCUGAGGGACAAUUUCGCACACCACUGUUUAAGGUGCGAAAUCCUCAGUCCACUGUGCGAAAAUUUCGCACACCUCAAACCAACAUGCGAAAUUGGAACUCAGCGUGCGAAAAUUGGAUAUUUUUGCCGACUCUUUUUUCUUCUGAUAUUUUUGUGUUUAAAUUAAAUUUCCAUUUUCUCCUUGUAUUCAUCCAACCAUGUAAUCUUAGCUAGGAAGUAUCCAAGGAAGGGUAAAACUACCUUCCUAUAUAAAUUCUCUGUAAUCACUGAAAACAUAUCUUUCGGGGAGCUUUCUCCAGGAGACGAACUAUUGUAAAAUUUGUUACUUAGUGAAAUACAGAGAUCUCUUUUGCUUUUAUUUUCUCUCUUUUAUUUUCUAUUUUCUUGCAAGCCAAACACCCUCUGAGGAUGUUUUCCCAGAGGAUGAGAGGCUAAACAACAGUUUCUUGGAUUAAAGGAAGCUAGGUGAAAAGUCCAGAUUAAAAGGUGGAAAGUUUCCGUGCAUUAACUUCAGGUAGUUGGAGUCCAUAAAUGGCUUCUAAAGCCAAGGUUUUGCCUUAAAUCCCUUAGGAUCACUUUGACUGGCCAAUACAUGGUAAGCUUAAGGUCUCUGUGGAUGCUUAUUGCUAGAUCCAUAUCAGUCCAUUAGUUAUCAUGUACGAGCCAUUGGAAAGUGAUUCAAGGUGAUAGCCCAUAGUGUCUUAAGCCAUUAAUGGACCUUGACUACCAUCUCUAGUGACUUUUUAUGGAUUAAAACUUCAUUGUCAAACCUAUACCGGUUCGGGAAAUAACUAUAGGUUAAAUCCCCAAUGCGAGGAGAAAAAUCCGGAAUUUUCCACUUUGCAUUUGGAACUUGAACCUAGCAACCUUUAGCUCCGGGAGACUUUCUUUCUUACACUUUUUACUUAGUUCUAUGUGAGUUUAGUUUAAAUCACCACUUUCAAACAAUUUUAUUUUCUUUUAAAUUUCAAGUUUGUGCCAAAGAAAUCAUCAGAAUCAAUUUCUAAUUUAGAGUCUAUCAUUGGUAGAGUGAAAACCCAUCCCUGAGUUCGACCCUAGAACUGCUAUACUAUAGUAGCUUUGCUACGCCAGUAUAAGGUCAUAGGUUUUAUAAAUGUUUUUGAUUAAAAGAUCCGGCUGGGAAGUCGAGCGUGAAUCAAAUGGCGCCGCUGCCGGGGAUGGUGCCACAAUACAGUGAUACAACCUUUUAGAGGCUACUUGUGAUUUUUAUCACAAGUUAGGUGAAUUUCUUUUUCACUAAUUUCAUUUUCUUUCAUUUCCCUGUUGUUAAUUUUAUUUUCAUUUUUCUUCCUAACUUUAAUUUUUUUUUUCUAGAUUCCUUUUGUUUUUGUUGUUUUUGUCUUAUUUCAGGUAUUGUAACUUGUGCAUGCCCUAUUGGAUUAGGGACCAAGAGGGAAGAUUAGUAAGGAUUGAGAAUCCUCAAGACACAGAGUUGGAUAUCUGUGUAAAUAUCAUGGACCCUCCACCAGAGGAUCAGAAUUCUCAACAAGGUCAAGGGGGUAAUCCUAAUGCAUACCUAUCCAUGAGGGAUAGAAUGCAUCCCCCAAGGAUGAGUGCACCCUCAUGCAUCCUGCCCCCUCUUGAGCAGUUGGUUAUAAGACCCCAUAUUGUACCCCUCCUACCAACUUUCCAUGGAAUGGAGAGUGAGAAUCCAUAUUCUCACAUCAAGGAGUUUGAGGAGGUGUGUAAUACCUUUAGAGAGGGAGGAGCUUCAAUAGACUUGAUGAGACUCAAGCUAUUCCCUUUCACUUUGAAGGACAAGGCAAAAAUAUGGCUUAAUUCUUUAAGGCCAAGGAGCAUAAGGAAUUGGGUUGAUCUUCAAGCUGAAUUUCUGAAGAAAUAUUUCCCCACCCAUAGGACUAAUGGGUUGAAGAGACAAAUCUCAAACUUUUCUGCAAAAGAAAAUGAGAAGUUCCAUGAGUGUUGGGAAAGGUAUAUGGAGGCUAUCAAUGCUUGUCCUCAUCAUGGUUUCGAUACAUGGCUCCUAGUGAGCUAUUUUUAUGAUGGAAUGUCCUCUUCCAUGAAGCAAAUUCUUGAGACCAUGUGUGGGGGAGAUUUUAUGAGUAAGAAUCCUGAUGAAGCCAUGGACUUUUUAAGUUAUGUGGCCGAGGUGUCAAGAGGAUGGGAUGAGCCCAACUCAAGAGAGAAAGGAAAAUUCCCCUCUCAACAAACCCAAAAUCCAAAGGCUGGAAUGUACAUGUUGAGUGAAGAUGUGGACAUGAAAGCUAAGGUGGCAACAAUAGCAAGGAGGUUGGAAGAACUUGAGUUGAAAAAGAUGCAUGACGUCCAAGCUAUUUCCGAAACUCAAGCCCAUGCCAUGCCAUGCACCAUUUGCCAAUCAUGUGAUCAUGUGGUAGAUGAGUGUCCAACCAUGCCAGCCGUGAGAGAAAUGUUAGGUGAUCAAGCCAAUGUUGUGGGGCAAUUUAGGCCUAACACUAAUGCACCCUAUGGUAACACCUAUAAUUCAAGCUGGAGAAACCACCCAAAUUUUUCUUGGAAACCAAGACCACCUCCAUACCAACCACAAGGCCAAACCCAAGCACCUCAACAACCAUCUUCAGUGGAGCAGGCCAUUGCAAACCUAAGUAAAGUCAUGAAUGACUUUGUGGGUGAACAAAGGGCAAUCAACUCCCAAUUGCACCAAAAGAUUGAGAAUGUUGAGAGUUCUCUAAAUAAGAGGAUGGAUGGGAUGCAAAAUGAUCUAUAUCAUAAGAUAGAUAAUAUUCAGUACUCCAUCUCUAGACUUACCAACCUCAACACAGUGAAUGAGAAAGGAAAAUUCCCCUCUCAACCAAGCCAAAAUCCUAAGGGUGUUCAUGAAGUUGAAAUCCAAGAGGGGGAUUCUUCAAAGUUGAGGGAGGUCAAAGCUGUGAUAACCUUGAGGAGUGGAAAGGAGGUUGAUAAACCCUUGCCUAAGGUGAGGCAAGAUGAAGAACUCAUGUCAAAGAGACCUUUGAUUAAAGAGAGCAAAAACCAAGAAGAGCAGAGUGGGAAGAAAAGUGCAUCCAAAUCAAGCAUUGAGGAAGAACCAAGGAUAGUGAUUAAGGAGCAUAUGAUGAAGAAACAUAUGCCUCCCCCUUUUCCUCAAGCUUUACAUGGAAAGAAAGAAAUCAAGAAUUCAUCAGAAAUUCUUGAAGUGCUGAGGCAAGUGAAGGUGAAUAUACCUUUACUUGAUAUGAUCAAGCAAGUCCCCACAUAUGCAAAGUUUCUAAAGGACUUGUGCACAGUCAAGAGAGGUUUACAGGUGACAAAGAAUGCAUUCCUCACUGAGCAAGUGAGUGCUAUCAUCCAGAGUAAGUCCCCAGUUAAGUAUAAAGACCCGGGAUGUCCCACCAUAUCAGUCAACAUUGGAGGGACACAUGUGGAAAAAGCUUUAUUAGAUUUGGGAGCAAGUGUGAAUUUGCUCCCAUACUCUGUCUAUAAACAACUGGGACUUGGAGGAUUAAAGCCUACAACCAUGACCCUCUCUUUAGCUGAUAGGUCAGUCAAAAUCCCAAGGGGUGUGAUAGAGGAUGUUCUAGUUCAAGUGGACAAAUUCUACUAUCAUGUGGAUUUUGUGGUGCUUGAUACCGAUUCCUCUGUCAAGGAAGAAAAUUAUGUGCCAAUCAUCCUAGGGAGGCCUUUUCUAGCUACCUCAAAUGCCAUCGUUAACUGUAGGAAUGGGGUGAUGCAGCUCACAUUUGGAAACAUGACUUUGGAAGUAAACAUAUUCCACUUAUGUAAGAGGCAUCUUUACCCUGAAGAGGAAGAAGGCUUUGAGGAAGUAUGCUUGAUCAACACUUUGGUUGAAGAGCACUGUGACAAGAGUUUAGAGGAGAGCUUGAAUGAAAACCUGGAAGUCCUUGAAGAUGGGUUCCCUGAACCCUCUGAUGUGCUAGCCAUUAUGUCUCCUUGGAGGAGACGGGAAGAGAUCUUACCACUGUUCAACCAUGAAGACUCUGAAGGAGUUGCUGUGGAGGACCCUCCAAAGCUUAUUUUAAAGCCACUUCCUGUGGAGUUGAAGUAUGCAUACUUGGAGGAUGAUGAAAAAUGUCCAGUGGUGGUUGCCUCAACCCUCACUAGUGAUCAAGAGGAUAGUCUUUUAGGAGUCCUCAGAAAAUGUAAGAAAGCCAUUGGAUGGCAAAUUUCUGAUCUGAAAGGGAUUAGCCCUUUGGUGUGCACCCAUCAUAUUUAUAUGGAGGAUGAUGCAAAACCAGUGAGGCAACCCCAAAGGAGACUGAAUCCUCACAUGCAAGAGGUGGUGAGGAGUGAAGUUUUGAAGCUACUUCAAGCUGGGAUCAUAUAUCCCAUUUCAGAUAGCUUGUGGGUGAGCCCCACCCAAGUAGUCCCAAAGAAAUCUGGAAUCACUGUGAUCCAGAAUGAGAAAGGGGAAGAAGUCUCUACACGUCCUACCUCAGGAUGGAGGGUGUGUAUAGACUAUAGAAGGUUGAAUUCAGUAACUAGGAAGGACCAUUUUCCACUGCCUUUCAUGGACCAAGUCCUUGAGAGAGUCUCAGGACAUCCUUUCUAUUGUUUUCUAGAUGGUUAUUCAGGGUACUUCCAAAUAGAAAUUGAUUUGGAAGAUCAAGAGAAAACAACCUUCACUUGUCCUUUUGGUACUUUUGCAUAUAGGAGAAUGCCCUUUGGUCUAUGUAAUGCUCCUGCAACUUUCCAAAGAUGCAUGCUAAGCAUCUUCAGUGAUAUGGUUGAACGCAUCAUGGAAGUUUUCAUGGAUGACAUCACUGUAUAUGGAAGUUCUUAUGAGGAGUGUUUGAUGCAUUUAGAAGCUGUUCUCCAUAGAUGUAUUGAGAAAGACCUAGUGCUAAAUUGGGAGAAGUGCCAUUUUAUGGUACAAAAAGGAAUUGUCUUAGGACAUAUCAUCUCCAAAAAUGGCAUUGAGGUAGAUAAGGCAAAGGUGGAACUUAUUGUUAAGUUGCCACCUCCCACAAAUGUUAAAGGAAUUAGGCAAUUCCUUGGACAUGCAGGAUUCUAUAGGAGGUUCAUUAAGGAUUUCUCAAAAAUCUCAAAACCUCUGUGUGAGCUUUUGGUAAAGGAUGCCAAGUUUGUGUGGGAUGAGAAGUGUCAGAGAAGUUUUGAGGAAUUGAAGCAAUUCCUCACAACUGCACCAAUAGUGAGAGCCCCAAAUUGGAAAUUACCUUUCGAGGUAAUGUGUGAUUCAAGUGAUCUUGCUAUGGGGGCUGUUUUAGGGCAAAGAGAAGAUGGAAAGCCCUAUGUGAUCUAUUAUGCAAGCAGAACUUUGAAUGAGGCUCAAAAGAACUACACAACUACUGAGAAGGAGUUGUUGGCUGUAGUUUUUGCCUUGGAUAAGUUUCGUGCUUAUUUGGUAGGGUCCUCUAUAGUAGUGUUCACUGACCAUUCUGCUUUGAAGUACUUGCUAACCAAGCAGGAUGCCAAGGCAAGAUUGAUAAGAUGGAUUCUUUUGCUCCAAGAAUUCAAUCUCCAAAUCAGGGAUAAAAAGGGGGUAGAAAAUGUGGUAGCUGACCACUUGUCCAGACUAGUGAUAGCACAUGACUCACAUGGUCUACCUAUCAAUGAUGACUUCCCUGAGGAGUCUCUCAUGUCAGUAGAUUUAGCUCCAUGGUAUUCUCACAUUGCAAACUUUUUGGUUACUGGAGAAGUACCAAGUGAGUGGAGUGCUCAAGACAAGAGGCAUUUCUUGGCUAAGAUCCAUGCCUAUUAUUGGGAGGAACCUUUUCUUUUCAAAUAUUGUGCAGAUCAAAUUAUAAGGAAAUGUGUUCCUGAGCAAGAGCAAUCGGGAAUUCUCUCCCAUUGCCAUGAUAGUGCUUGUGGAGGUCAUUUUGCCUCUCAGAAAACAGCUAUGAAAGUGAUCCAAUCAGGCUUCUGGUGGCCCUCUCUUUUCAAGGAUGCCCAUUCUAUGUGUAAGGCAUGUGAUCGGUGUCAAAGGCUUGGUAAGCUAACACGCCGAAAUAUGAUGCCCUUGAACCCCAUCUUAAUAGUGGAUAUCUUUGAUGUCUGGGGUAUAGACUUUAUGAGACCAUUUCCAAUGUCAUUUGGACAUUCCUACAUCUUGGUAGGAGUGGAUUAUGUCUCUAAGUGGGUAGAGGCAAUCCCAUGUAGGAGCAAUGAUCAUAAAGUGGUACUUAAAUUCCUCAAGGACAACAUCUUUGCAAGAUUUGGAGUGCCAAAGGCCAUUAUAAGUGACGGGGGAACCCACUUUUGCAAUAAACCUUUUGAGACUCUUCUAGCCAAAUAUGGGGUUAAGCACAAGGUAGCUACACCUUAUCACCCUCAAACUAGUGGCCAAGUUGAGUUAGCCAACCGAGAGAUCAAGAAUAUAUUGAUGAAGGUGGUCAAUGUGAAUAGGAAAGAUUGGUCUAUCAAGCUCCUAGAUUCCUUAUGGGCUUAUAGGACAGCUUACAAGACCAUUCUAGGAAUGUCUCCCUAUCGCCUUGUUUAUGGCAAAGCAUGUCACCUUCCAGUGGAAAUUGAGUAUAAAGCAUGGUGGGCAAUCAAAAAGCUCAACAUGGAUUUGACAAGAGCCGGGUUAAAGAGAUGUUUAGAUUUGAAUGAAUUAGAGGAAUUGAGGAAUGAUGCAUACCUCAAUUCAAAAAUUGCAAAAGCAAGAUUGAAAAAAUGGCAUGAUCAGUUGGUAAAUCAGAAGAAUUUUACCAAAGGACAAAAGGUUUUGCUUUAUGACUCUAAACUUCAUCUCUUUCUAGGUAAAUUGAAAUCAAGGUGGACGGGUCCUUUCAUAAUUCAUGAAGUGCAUCCCAACGGAGUAGUGGAAAUAUUCAAUCCCACAGGCAAUCAAACCUUCAAAGUCAAUGGCCAUCGUCUCAAGCCAUUCAUAGAGCCUUACAGUACAGACAAGGAGGAGAUCAACCUCCUUGAACCACCACAACUCUGAGUAAAAACAGGGUAUCAUGGGCUAAAUAAGUCCAUGAAUUUUUUGUUAUAGUUUUAUAGUUAUAUCAUUAAUUUUAUUUCUUUUUAUUAUAAUUUUACCUCAAGCUUAGUUUAUUUUGUCUUAAUUCAAGUCAAUUUUGAUGAUAAAUUGCAGAAAAAAUCAUGAAAAGUGAGGAGAACUCUUCAAAAGCAGAACAGGGGAGUAAAACCAAGGAAGCAGAGCAAGGUGCCAAAUUUUCGCACACCCAUUUUCAAGGUGCGAAAAUUUCGCACACCCCAAAACCAAGGUGCGAAAUCCUUGGGCCAAAGGAAGCAAUUUUCGCACACCCCAAUUUCAAGGUGCGAAACCAAUUCCAAGGUGCGAAAUCCAUUUUCAAGGUGCGAAUUUCCUAAAAUCCAAUUUCGCACACCACUGUGGAAGGUGCGAAAAUUUUCGCACUGUGCGAAAUCCUCUCCUGGCACACGUGUGCCAAUUUCGCACACCCCAAGCUAAUUUUCGCACUGUGCGAAACGGUGUGCGAAAAUUUCGCACACCACUGUUCAAGGUGCGAAAAUUUCGCACACCCAAUUCCAAGGUGCGAAAUCUUCAAUUGAAGGGGUGCCAUUUUCGCACACCUAAUUCCAAGGUGCGAAAUUUGCAGACCAAGGUGCGAAACUUUCGCACGGUAAAAUUUUAAGUUCUAAAAAUUUAAAACGGACUUUUAAAUUAAAAUUUUACCCCCGAAAUUGUGCCUAACGUCCAAAAACGACUUUUCGGUUGCCUUGGAAAAUUUUAAAAUAUCAGAAACCUUUAAACCUCAUUCCUAUAUAAACCCUUGAGCUCCAAAAGCCCAGGAACUCAACAGUCUCCCCGCGCACAAGCUAAGACACCUCUGGAAUCCCGAACACCCACCUCUCUUCAUUUCGGCCAUGGCGAAGACCAGAGGAGGCCAUUCCGCCUCCCCAUCCUCACCGACACCUCGACCACCUCGAGCCGCCAUGGGAGCCGCAGCUUUGCCGCCUGUUCAGGCCCCGGCCAUUCCCCCAUCUGAGGGGGAAGCUCCUUCUCAGCGCCGAUACCCUACCAGGAGGCCACCCACGCACCCUCUGCCACCAGUCGAUCAGGCCACGAGCCCUGUUCCUCGACCCCCUGCGAAGAGGACCAAAGUCUUGGGUCCUGGAGAGCCAUCCCACGCACCUCAGCCAGAGCCAUCUACAGAGGAACCUCGGAUUCCUCCGGAUAUUCCUCUCGAGACCGUUAUCAGGCGUCCCAUGCUAGCUGGACCACCGAUAGAAGGCAACUUAGAUUGCAGAGAUCGACCCUUCCAUUCCGAGACCUAUUUUGAUAGAGAGGCCCUCAGACAGCAGCCAGAGCUCAGAGAUUCAUUCCGACUGCUGCAGAGGUAUCACAUGGAGGAUCUUCUCACUCCUAGGCAAUUCUACUAUCCUAGAGUAGUUAUAGAUUUUUAUCAAUCUAUGACUACUCGAGGCCUCCGCAAUCCUACUCUCAUCCAAUUUACCAUAGACGGACGCCAGGGUGCCAUUGGAGCUCGCCACAUUGCUGAGGCCCUCCGUAUACCUUAUGAGCCCGUGUUUCAGGCAGAUUUCAGGGAGUGGUCCUCAUUCUCUCAGAGUGACAUGGUCCGCAUUUUGUCCAGGGGGACUUCUACAGCCUCGGUAUUGACCAGGAGAGAGCUUCCAUCUGGGAUGCUCCUCAUUGAUGUGUUCCUGCGUGCCAACCUAUUUCCCCUUCAGCAUAAAGUUCAGAGGAGAGGAGCUAUACUUGAGGCGUUAUUCAGGAUUUCUGAGGGCUAUUUCUUCGGCCCUCAUCAUUUGAUUAUGACUUCUCUUCUUCAUUUUGAAGAGAAAGUCCAUCAGAAGAAGCUUCAGAGGGCAGACGGCAUCCCAUUACUAUUUCCGAGGCUCCUCUGCCAGAUUUUAGAGCACUUGGGCUAUCCUGAAGAGCCCCGUCUUGAGAGGCGCCGCCAUUGCCGAGAGGACUUCUCUCUCGACAAAUGGCAUCACUUGGUAGCCUAUUUUGCACCCCAGGGAGCCCCAGCUGUGCCUGCACCUCCAGAGCUACCCCGAGAUGAGCAGAUACCUCAGGCCCAGCAGGAUGAGAUUCUCACAGAGACACCACCUCCUGCCCCUGCAGCACACACCUCAGAGCAUAUUCCUGAGCCUAUACAUCCUAUUUCUCCUAUCACUUCGGGUGCUCCACCAGUCCUGCCAGCUACCCCAGCACCUCCUCCUUCAUCUGAGCCCACUAUCACCGUUUCUCUUACGGAAUUCAGAGGCUUAGAGCGUUCAUUGCGGACACUGAGCACUGCUCAGGAUUCUAUUAUCCACCAGAUGGCCAUUAUUCGGGCACACCAGGAUCAGAUCAUUGCUACUCAGUCCCAGCAUACCACGAUCCUUCAUCAGAUUCAGCAGCAUCUGAGUAUGCAGACCCCUCUUGGGCAUGAUAGGUCUGCACCAUCCGAGCCUCUAGUGCCAGAUGAGGAGAGCUUGCCAGCUGAGCAGCCUAUACCUGAGGAGGAGAUCAGAGCAGAGCCAUCACAUGACCCCACUCAUAUCUGAUCUUUUUAUGUUUUACUUUAUAUAUUAGACUUGUAAAUCCCAGCUUUUGCAUGUGUUAUAAACUGGGAUUGGAAAUAGUACUUGAAAUCAUACAUUGUAUAUUUCUUUUCCAAGUAAUAUAUAUAUAUAUAUAUAUCCUUUUUGAUUAUAUUCCCUUUUCUCAUUACUCUUUUGUCCUUGGAACAUGUGGUUUAAGGUACUCCAUACCUCCUUUACACUCAGACUUUGUCACACUCAGGAGGUACCACUUCCUCCCUUUAUUUUUUAAUCGCUUUUGAAACAUUGGGGACAAUGUUCAACUUGGUUGGGGGGGAGAAUUGAGAAAGGAAGUUUUGUUGUCGAUAUUAAGUUAUUUUGGUAUUUUAGUUGAUUUUUGCUUAAAAUUUAAAAUUUUUAAAAAGUUUUUUUUGAAUCAUUCUCUCUGGUUGUUAAAGAUAAUUUCUCAAAAAUAAAAUAGGAUAAGUCGAGUUUUAACUUAAUUAUUUAAGUCUUAGAGUUUGUUUUAUGCUUUCAAAGUUGAUAAUCUAUUGAAGCCUCUUUGAUUUUGAACUUUCUUCUUCCAUUUCGAGCUUUUACACACACUGUGCACAUUAGAUCCCGGAUAUAAGAUGUAAAACUUUCUCACUUUCUAAGCUUAGGAAAAUUUUGAUUUGGUUUAUUACUUAACCUCUUUUUAAUAGUGUUGGGACACCUCAUAAAGACCAAUGAGUCUUAGAAAAAGACCAAUGAGUCUUAGAAAAAGACCAAUGAGUCUUAGAAAAAGAAAAAGAGAAUAAGCUUCUAUUCUUUCCUUGAAACCUAAGCAUGAUCCGAAGGGGUGGCGAAAGCCUUUAAAACCCGAUGCCCUAAACCUUGAUUGGUUGGGAGUCAUCGAUCCUCUGCUUGCUACAUAGGUGAAUUGGUUAAGUUUAGUAAAUAAAAAGAAUUGUGAAUAAGAAGGUGCGUUCUUAACCUAUUAAGAGUUGGUUAAUGUUGCCAAUAUCCGAGAAAAGCUUAGGUUGGAGGGUGAUGAUAGUUGUAUAUACUAUAUCUGGAAGCUAAUUUCAUUAACACUUAGCUUAUUAUGGAAGAGUUUGUUUUGAAACCUUGAGAGUAGAGAUUCUUUUGAUACUUAAUUGCAUAAUCUCCACUCUUUGUACUUUUUGUUUAAGUUUAAGCUUUGUUAACUCCUAUUGCAUUUUGAAUCUUCAUAUCUUUAGUUCACCAGGUGAGAGGUGUUUGGAUAUCAGUCAUGCCACUCAAUUAUUUUUUGGAAUGAAUUGCAUGACCUCUUUUAUAUAUAUUAUUACGUUUGCUUAGUUUUUCUCUCCUUAAUUGCUAAGGGACUAGCAAUAUGUCGGUUGGGGGGAGUGAUUACUACUCAAAACAUGCUAUUUUGUAGCUUGUAAUUAGCUCUCUUAAACACUCUUGAGUAGUAAUUAUUACCUUUUAACUCGAUUAACAUGUUAGGGACCCUUGCAAUCAGAUUUCUAACAAUUGUGUUAAGUUUUGGUGCUUUUUGAUAGCUUUUUGCCCACCAAAGCAAUUUAAGAAUGAGGGAGAGCUAUUUAUAGUUCAUGGCAAAGCUUUUGGAAGCUUUGAUUUUUGAAGAAAUCAAGCUAUGGAGCCUCAUAAUCCUUUGCCUUAAUCGUUCAAAGUUUACAAGGGAGAAGCAAUGGAGAAGAAGAAAACAGGGGAUGAAAACAGGGGACACAGCUGCAGUCUUUUAGUGCACUUUUGNNNNNNNNNNNNNNNNNNNNNNNNNNNNNNNNNNNNNNNNNNNUUUCCCAGAGGAUGAGGAGGCUAAACAACAGUUUCUUGAUUAAAGAAGCUAGUGAAAAGUCCAGAUUAAAAGGUGGAAAGUUUCCGUGCAUUAACUUCAGGUAGUUGGAGUCCAUAAAUGGCUUCUAAAGCCAAGGUUUUGCUUUAAAUCCCUUUAGGAUCACUUUGACUGGCCAAUACAUGGUAAGCUUAAGGUCUCUGUGGAUGCUUAUUGCUAGAUCCAUAUCAGUCCAUUAGUUAUCAUGUACGAGCCAUUGGAAAGUGAUUCAAGGUGAUAGCCCAUAGUGUCUUAAGCCAUUAAUGGACCUUGACUACCAUCUCUAGUGACUUUUUAUGGAUUAAAACUUCAUUGUCAAACCUAUACCAGUUCGGGAAAUAACUAUAGGUUAAAUCCCCAAUGCGAGGAGAAAAAUCCGGAAUUUUCCACUUUGCAUCUGGAACUUGAACUUAGCAACCUUUAGCUCCGGGAGACUUUCUUUCUUACACUUUUUACUUAGUUCUAUGUGAGUUUAGUUUAAAUCACCACUUUCAAAACAAUUUUAUUUUCUUUUAAAUUUCAAGUUUGUGCUAAAGGAAAUCAUCAGAAUCAAUUUCUAAUUUAGAGUCUAUCAUUGGUAGAGUGAAAACCCAUCCCUGAGUUCGACCCUAGAACUGCUAUACUAUAGUAGCUUUGCUACGCCAGUAUAAGGUCAUAGGUUUUAUAAAUGUUUUUGAUUAAAAGAUCCGGCUGGGAAGUCGAGCGUGAAUCACACCUCUAGAGAGAGCGCGCCAAAGCUUCCUCUUUUCCAAAGCUCACCCUUUGGAGUACUAAGAUCAUGAUUAGAGUCAUUUGGCAUAAUACUUUAAGUGUACGAGACAUCUAUAGACUGCAAACUUCUUUUUCACCUGCUUGGAUUCAACCUAAGAGCAUCUAUAUCGUAGAUAUGAGUUUCAAAUCUUUAAAUCUUUAUCCUAAAAUAGUUUUUAAAGUGAUUAUUUUUCAUUGCAUCAGAUCUAGAGAACCCUACAAAUAGAUGCAUGCACCCUAUGAGAUCCAAGGCCUAUGAAUGAAGUAAUCCGGAGUUCCCAACAAAAAUACCCCACAAAACAAUGGUUCCCACACCCUAGAAAGGUUUUAUCAUGUUUUUUGCUAACCUAAGACUCUAAUACAAGACAAUCUUAGAUCACUUUGUUCCCAAAUUUUAGGAUUUAGAUUUUAAGAUUAAUACACUUACCUCAUAUUAGAGUGUUCUCAAAUCUAUUCCAUUUAGAGAAGAUAAAACUUGAAUUUUUCGAAAGUCUUAAAAACCCAAGAUUUUCCAUCAUGAUGACUCUACCUUUAUCUUGGUACUUAACCAGGGGGGUUUUAGAAGGGUGUGAGGCUAGGUCCCUCUCUUAUCUUUGGAUGGUGGAAGAUAACUAACUUGAAACUUUAAACCCUAUUAGGUUAUUUAUAAGGUUGCCUAACUGGGCUUACGUAACUUGAUCCCACCAAGGGUUUAGGUCACUUAAUCUAGCCCAAAAUAGGUCAUAAUUGAUUAAUUAACCCCAUAGGGCCUUCUAAUUAAUCAAUUAACCUAAUCCAGAAACUUUGUUUACUAACCCCUAUACAACAUUGCGUAAUUAUCAAAACACCCUUAUACACAAAAGUGAACCAAUAGUCAAUCUAAUCCUCAUAGACUAUGCCAAUAAGGUAUAUGAGCUCAAAUGAAGACCAUUGAGACCCAAUUUUGAAAUUGAUUUAACAUAUCACUAUACAAAAUCAACUGCCCUCUAAUAACAAUGUAAAUAAUAAUGAGACACUAAAUGCUCGGGUUUGUGACUUAUUAUCUAUUGCAUUUAGUUUUCUUGUGAACGGGUGUCAAGAGUUUAACAAGGUGAAAAUUAUCAGGCCUUCAAAACUAUCUCUAUUAUCAUUGAGUUAUAGAUCUUCCUAUUACAUGCUCAACUGACAUAUCUUAGUUCUCCAACAGCUUAUGUCAAGUUCCAUUUAAGGAACUACUAUGACCAUAGUUUACAUGAACAUAUCUUUUUAAGAUCACACAAGAUGACAUUAUAUCUCAAUUUCAUGAGAUAUCAUGGUGCAUCUAUUGAGAAUACCUAUAACUAUCGACUUUCAUCAAUGGUGACCUAAUCCAUAAAGAAUAUAUGAUCAACUUACGAUCUCACUCGUAAAUCAAAACCAUUGCUAACUUUAACACAACUUUAGUACUCUUUCAAGGUUGAGAAACAAUACAAUGAAGUAGUUUGGCGAAGUCAUGACAAUUUGAUAGCCUUGUAUUAUGACUCAUUGUAGGUCUUGUUGAUGAUGACAUGGAUAGCAUAGGUGUCAAAUAUGUAGCUAGUUUGAUUUAAAGGCAUGAUCCUUUGAAAGCUAGUAGGAGAUUGUUAGGAUAGAGCCUUUAAAAGUAUGAUAUGAUGUAAUAAAUUUUUUGAUUUAUUAUUUAUUAAUAAAGUUCCUAUUCACUUUUAUCUAUCAUCAUUUCAUGUAUUAUACUUUGUAAGCAUUAUAGCUUGCACCUCUUGCAUUGAAUGUGACUUGGAUACAACCAAAUAUAUUCAUGUAUUUGGUUUGAAGUCUUUCAAGGUGAUUUGAGAGAAACAUGAAGUUGAUCCCAUAUAUUAAAAUGAAGCUACAAACUAUGUUGAUGCUCAUCUACGACAAUGAGUUAUAGAGGCAGAGUUAGAAUUCAUGUAUUCCAACAAAGUUUGUGAUCUUCUAGAUGCACUUAAAGUUUGAGACCCAUAGGGUGCAUGUGGGUCUACAAGAGGAAGAGAGCAAUAGAUGAAAAUGUUAAAAAAUAUAAGGCUAGGCUUGUAGCUAGACGUUAUAGUUAGAAACCCAGUUACGACUAUAAGGAAACCUUUUUGCCAAUAACCAUGUUUAAAUCUAUGAGAAUGCUCCUAUUUAUUGCAACGCAUCUUAAUUAUAAGAUAUCAUGUCAAGACAUCGUUUUUUAAUGGUCAUCUUGAUGAGCGCAUCUAGGAAUGGCAACAGGGUGGGUUUGGGACAUGGCACCCCUAUCCCAUUUCCAUCCCAAAAUACAAAACUAUUUUCUAUCCCCAUCCCAAACCCGAGUCGGGGCAAGGUAAUCGUUCUCAACCUGUUUUCAAACAAAAACUAUAAUCUUGUCCCCAUCCUUGUUGCGCCCUGUUUGGCAUAUGCAAAUCUCAAAUCCAUAAUGAAAUUCAACUCCCAAAAAGAAAUUGUCACUUAAGAUGCAACAAAUUGCAAUCAAUUUGAAGGAAAAAAAAACUCAUUUUUUUUUAUCACAAUGAACCCACAAGAUUCAACUCAAUAUCUGAAACGUUUAGAUCAAAUAACAACAAGCCAUGUUAAUACAAAUACCAAAAACCAAUUUUUGAUGACACCUAUAAACAUCUCUACAAGUAAAACUCAAAUUACAAAUCACAUAAUGAUUCAUUUAGCAGAGAAAAAACCCAUAAAAGAAAUAAAACCAACAAGAAAAACACAUUUAGGAUUAUAAUAAUGGGUGUCACUAGAUUCCAAAUCAAUAAGAAACGAAUAGGGAAAAAACUCACAUAGAGGUAGAAUGAAGAGUGGAGGCCAUGAAAACUCUAUGAGAUCUGGUACAAUGAGAUUGAGGAGGAGGGUUGUAGUGGGUGUGAUUUUGGUUGAGCUCUGCCUUUGUGAGAAAAAUCGACUCCACAAAGGUCGAGAGUGAGAAAGAGAAGUAGAGAGAAUAACAUCUCUAUGUUUGAUAAAAAGAGAGGUUGUUUAGCGAGGAACCCUGAGAAUGAAGAGAAAUAUUUAUAGGGGUUUUUUUUUUGGUAUAUUGUAAAAUUGUACAUUCAGGGCGGGGCAAGGCGGGUUAUUACAAAACCUAACCUCGACCUAAACCCAAUUCGGGUUUUAAUAAAUAAACCCAACCCCGGCCCAAACCCGAUUCAAGUUUUAAUAAAUAAACCAAAACUCGCCCAAUCCCUAAUUACUACACUCCCAUACCCAUCCUAAUAGGGGCGGGUAGCCCGAAAAACCCGUGAAGUUGCCAUCCCUAAGCGCAUCUAUGUGAUGUAACUGGAUAAUUUCUUACUAAAAGGCCAAUAGCAUCUAAUAUGCAUGUUGCAUAAAUUCAUUAAUGAAUUAAAACAAGAAUCUCACUCAUGGAACAAACAUUUUGAUUAAACAUUGAGACUUUUGAUUUUGAUCAAAAUAAGAUAAGCCUUAUGUAUACAAGAAGAAGUAGGGAAACAUGAUGGCAUUUUUCAUCUUGUAUGUUGAUGAUGUAGGGUUACUAUCAUCAAUUAAGAUUUAGUUAUCUACUUAGUUCCAAAUGAAAUAUUUAGGAGAAGCACAAUAUAGUUUUAGGAUUAAGGUUCUUAGGGAUCACAAGACUACGAAAAUUGCAUUAUCUCAAACCAUCUAUAUUGAUAAGCUUUUGGUCAAAGUAUGUGAUGUAGGACUCCAAGAAGGGUUUGCUACCCUUUAGGCAUGAAAAUCAUCUUUCUUAAGAUUAGUAGCCUAAGAUAUUCAAAGAUAAAGAUCACAUGAAUAAAAUACCCAAUGCCUUUAUGGUGGGUAGCCUUGUGUAUUUAAUGUUAUGUACUAGAUUAGAUGUGUACUUUACUAUAGGGAUGAUGAGUAGAUAUCGGUUCAAUUCAAGACUAGAACAUUGGACAAAAGUAAAAAACAUAUACUCAAGUAUCUUAAAAGAACGAGAGAUUAUAUUUUGAUGUACCAUUGUGAUGAGUUGAUAUUCCUUGGGUACAUAAAUUCAGACUUUUGAUUUGAUAGGAUUUAAUAUUCCAAUUCUUAUAUUUGAAUAAGUUAGACUUUGGAAUUAGAAAAAUAUAUCUAUUUUUAUUCAAGCGUUUGUAUAUAGAAUUAAAAACAGAACAAUUAAUUAAAGAAAAUAUUCUUUCAACUCAAUUUAAUAUAUGAAUUCUUAAAUUAUAAUGCUCAAACUUUAAAAUAUAAAAGAAAAUUUAAAAUUAAAAAGAAUUUAUUAAAUAUUAUUAUUUUCUUUAAUUUUAGAAUGCAUGUAGUUUAUUAAACAUGUAGAGUCAUAUUAUGCUUAGUAGUCAUGUUUCACCCUUCAUAAGAUAGGGGUUGGAUAGUGCCUUGCAAUUUCCCAUCCAUUGUCUUCAUUAUAAUACUUUAAUAUGUGGUAUUAUGGGAAGCCUUUAAUUAUCAUAGGACACAUAAGCUUUAGUUUGAAAAUUGAAUAAGAUAACCAAGAUAUGUGCAGUUCUUUUAGUUUAUCAAUGAAUUUAGCAUGUUAAAAGUACAUAGAAAUUUAUGUAUAUAUUUAAUAAUAUAUCUUAGACCAUAUUUGGUUCGAUUUUUAAGAAGUUAAAAGCUUUUUUUUAAGCUCAAUAAGAGCUUUUUUUUGUCUCUUUAGGUAAUUUUGUUCAAACAAUUUAUCUUAAUAGGGAAGUCAAGAAGAUAUUACUUCUUGUAGAAGUUCUAUUUUGACUUAUAUAAAAAGCUUUUUCAUAUCUAAUAAGGCUUUUACAAUACCAAAAUUACCCUUUAAAAAUUGUGACUUCGUUUCAACUUCAUCUUCUAGUUAAAGCCAAAAAUUGGAAGUUAUCUGAAAUAAGACUUUAGUAAGCAACUUCCAAUAUGGUUUGUUAAAUUGGAAGAGAGGAGUUGACGGAUGGGGAGAAUUACUCCUAGUAUGCUAAGAUAUGUAUCAAAACAUAAAAUUAAAAAACAAAGUUUUGAGACUUAAUGCAAAUUCUUCAAUAAUAGUUUAUACUACAAUUAUGCACUUUUUUAGAAGGAUAAUUUCUUUAGGUAGAGUUAUAUGUUUUGGGAACCAUGUUUUCAUAACUCAUACUCUUUAACUUAUAUGUCAUUCUUUAUCUAGCUUUCUAGUUAAAGAUUUUACUCAUUUGGUUCAAUAUAAUAGUUUGAUAAAUAAAAUUAAAAAUGACUUCACUUUUGGUCUAGCUCUAUACCAAAACAUUAAAAUCCUUACUCUAAACAGUUUGAUGGUGAUGGAUUCUCCAUCUCCUCCUCUUCUAUAUCUGUAUCUUUCCUUCUAUAUCUCAUCAUUAGUUAGAUGAAGUUAUUUUGAUUAUGUCAUUUUUUGAGCACUAUAUAUAUAAUUGAGAUUUUUUAGCAAGAAUAUUACCUUACAUAUACUACUAGCAAGUCUAAUGGACAAAAGUGGGCACAAGACAUGAAUAACAAGUUUGCAACAACAAGGCCAUGUUGUACUCUACCUUUUCAUCUCUUUUAAAUUGACCCUAGUCCCUUAAUCCUAAAAUUACUCAAAGCCAAUUUGCUUCACUCAAGAGGAGGUCUUAGGUAAUCUGCACAAAUGUUUAUAGGUUUAUUGGUAACUUUUGAUAAUCUUUUAUUCAUUCCUCAAGAUUAAAAAUUUUUUGUCACUGACAUUUAUAUUAUAUUAGUAGAUUUUCCAAAUGUAUAUGAAAAUCUACAUUUUUGGUAUUUUAGUAUUCCUCUUCCCAUCACUAAUCUAAGAUAGUGAACCAAACAUUGCAAUGAUACUUGAUGUUACUGCACCAAAUUCUCUAGGCACUUGAUUAACACUCAAAAUUGAGGUUUUCUCAUACUUAAAACAAGGAUUUUAUAAAACAUUUCGAGUGUCAAUCCACUCUUUUAACUUAAAUCUAUGCUAAGUCCUCAAUUGGGGACUAAUAUGUUUGUUUAUCUACUAUAGAAUGCAACCAAAAAAAAAAAAAAAGAGAGAAUAAAAAGUGUGAUUAAGAAGAUUUUCAUGCCAAAAUAUAUUUAAUAGAUAGCUUUUGGUCCUAAACCAUAGAUCCCUCUCAUUAUGAAUUCAACACUAAAUUGUGAAAAUUCCGAAAUACAUUUCUUUUUACUUUAUUUAUUUCAUUAAAUAUUUUAGAAAAUCAUCUUUCACAUUUUUUAUUUUAAUUAAUUAAUAUUUAUCACUAGGAGGAAGAAUAGUACUUCAUUGCUACAAAUAUGGAUUAUUGAAACAAAUAAGACAUGUAUUUGGAUCUUUUCCUUUAACUUACAAUAUUGUACUUUUUAUGACAAUGGAUUAUGGAAAUGUGUGACUUGAACUUUUGAUUAGGCCUUGCAGAUAUAUACCUUUAUCUAAAAUUCACAACCAAAUGUGUCUUUGUUCUAACCACCGCAUAAGCCCCAAACAGAAUAUGAUAGAUUGGUUUGUUUAUUUUUUAUUUAAAUUUGAUGGACAAUUAAUAUUUUGAACUCAAUAACUAAAUAUAUUAAUGUUGAUCUCAUAGGAUAACAACUCGAAUACUAUAAGUUGUAGUGAUUUUUUCUCUAGUUUUUUUCUUGAUAAGUAUAUGAACUAAGGCUUAAACUUUAAUACAAAACAGAAGUUCUGUCAACACCUAUAAAAUCAAGGAUGUUCGAUCAACAAGAAUUCAUCAACCACCAACUAAUUAGAUAAAUGAUCUCUUAACUUUCAUUCUGCAUCUUUUCCUAUUUAGAGUUCAUUUAGUUGUACCAAUAGACUGCAAACUUACUGCACCUUCUUGAGCAAUAUUUCCAAAGUAAGUGAACAUGUCAAUUUUCACUAGGAUAAUGCACAAUUGGAAUGGAGAGAAUCCAUGAAAAAUGUACUUUAAGCACUUGAUGAAAACAAUACUGUGGAUAUUGUCAAAUUAUUUAAGAGAAAAAAGUUAGAGGGAUGUCAACAAGUUAAUAAAAUCAAAUAGAACAGUGAUGGAAUGGUUGAAGAAUACUAGGUAUGAUUAGUAGUGAGGAUAUUGUCAAAUUAUGUAAGAAACCACCAAUAUGGCUUCCCCGAUUGGAAGAGGAACUUCUGAUGAGUACAGCCUUCACAAGAAAAAACCAGAGGGGAAAAAUAACUAGUUGUAUAACACAAAGGAAAAUUCAAUGUUACAUUGGGUAGGGAGCAAGGGAAUUUCAAUCUCAAUGGAAAAAAGUUUCCAAUGUGAAUCAAAAUUAACAAUGAUCAACCCCAUUAAGACAAUCCACAAUUAAAGAGGUUGUGAAGUAAAUCUACAAAAAUUGAUAAUCAUCAGAGUUAGAUGCUGAAAGAGAAGCCGUCCAGCCUCAUGGAAUGAGAGAAAGUGAUUAAUCAGCACGCGGCAACAAGAAACUAAAGCCAGAAUUCUCACGAAUAAGUGGUGGUGGUUCAAUGUCAGAUAUGUCUAUUUGUUCCAUAGACUUUGAUAUAUCAUCAACUGAAAAUGGAAUGCUGCACCAUAAAUGAUAUUAUCAGCAUCCACUUUGAGAAUAUAACACGUCAGAAUAGAUGUAUAAGAGCUUUUUUUUUUUUUUUUUUUUCUUUUUGGCUACUACUAAAGCUUUACCAAGUUAUGUCUAGAUCGGUUCUUCUUCCAAUCUCUAUCUAAUCUGUUACAUCUUUUAGGCUUAGAUCAUUUUAUGAAUAAGCACAUUUAAAAUCCAAGUACACAUUACAAUAAGCCUAAAAUUAUAUAGACUGCUAAAAUCCUCAAGCAGUUUGCAAGUCUAAUUAUCAUGCAUUUUGGAUUCUGAAUAUAAGAUUAAAGUUUUUAAAUAACAGUUGAAGAUAAAACAGAAUAACUUUCUUUACACCCAUUCCAGGUAUAUUUCCAAUCAGGUUAAUAUGAAAUGAAAGAAAAGGAAAGAACAUAUCAUCAGAUAGUUGAAUUUUGUAACCUACCUUGAAUCAUCAUCCAACAGGAAAGAAUUGCUGACUGCAUUGUUCGAAUCUUCAGUCAUCAACACCCUCAUGUUGGAUAUAACCUAGAUGGCAACAUUCACAAGGCAAAACUUACCAUAGUUAGUUUUUCCUAAUUUAUGUAGUGCUAUGAAAAUUAUCAUACUUCCUUGUGACAAAGAUGGCUCGAACCUAGUUUGAGUAAUGGCAUCCAUAGAAACUUACAUCUGGGGACACACUAUGCGUGCCAUACUUGUCAUCCCAGUACAUUGUACUGAUCCGAUACAGCUGCUGUAUACUGAGCACCUGCAAAUGGAGAAACAAGAUUGGUUGAGAUAAGGUAGAUGUGAAUGUUAUCUCUCAUUUUUGUCUAUAGGAACACUGGUUACCGGGCAUAGGUCAUGGCUUAUUUCAUCAAGGGUUUUCUUUGGCUUUUGAUGUAUGACCUGAAUCAGGAAAUAGAAAUGUCAAGAUUUCCCCAAUUCUUAUUUCUUCAGCCUUAGAACAAGUAAUGAUGAGAUGAACUGCAAAGGUUUACCAGAAACCCAAUAGCCUGCCUGAUAUGCUUGAGCUCAUCCCAAGCUGAACCUGCAUACUGCAAUUUUUUUUUUUUUUUGUUUAUUCAGCAAGUAGGUUAUUGUACAAUAAUGAAAUGAAGGCACAGAAACCAAGAUACCUCAUCGGUUGCCUUGUAACACCAAUGUUCCAGUUCAGCCAGUCCUGCUUUAACAUAUUCACCAUUACUAAAUGAACAGCACUCUCGUCGUAAUAGAAGGCUGCAACCAUAACAAUGUGUGCAAGACCAUAAGGAAAAAACUUCAAUCUGCGGUACAGAAAAUUACUAUAGAAUAUGAAAUACUGACUCUAUACCUGUUGAAUAAUUGGACAUUGAUGAAAGAAAAUAUUUGUGUGAACACCUUACGAACUAAAAAUGGGGGUACCUGGAAACAGAAGAGGUGGGAAAAGGUAUUUCACUGUAAAUAUGAUUUCAGAACAAAUACCAUAAGAGCAGGAAAAGAAUUUUCCUAGCAUGGUCUUGCCAAGUAAUGGACAAAUAAUUUGCCAAGUCAGAUAGUUUGAGUUGGCUUAGGCAUGUACUCAAGAGACACGAAAUAUGCCAAGAGUAACACAGACAGCCAAUCAUUAUCAUUUAGGUAAGGAAAAGGGCAUAAUGAAAAGAAAUCCGCUGGACCCCCACUAACAUGAUUUGCUUUCAAAGUAUUCAAGAAAUUUCCAAGGCUCUUCACAAUCCCUUGCCAAUGAGCAAUCAAAGCUUGUUGAGCUGCAGUGUUUGCAACAGAACGUGACGGUCCCUUAACUAAGCUUGCUCUUGAUAUUCUUGGUGCCUAAUUCAUUAUUAUCCAAAAAAGAAAUUUAUACACAUAAGUAAUUCAAAAGGAAAGUCAAUAAAAGAGUUUAUUGUCAUGACUGGGUGCAUAAAUGAUCAGAUUCAUGUACCUGGAUGCACAACCCCAGUAAAGGAGAAAUCUCUUUCUUCAGAUUAUCACGAAUCAUUCCAUAAAUUUUCUCUACAUAUGCUGUAAGCUGCUGUUUGAAAAGCAGCGCUGGGUAUUUGGCUUCAACUUGGCGUAAAGUUUCCACUCCACCGGUUAGACCACCAUUUGUGAAGGAAAGAUUAACUCCUUGUGGAGCUCCACGAAAACUCUGUAAAGAAAAUUAUACAAACAGAUUUGAACAGAAAAGAAUUUUUUCUGAAAUAAAUAAUAGGUUCGAGAGAGAUUGUACCUGUGUCAUCCUUCCAAACAAUGUAGCUGAUGAUGAUCGACGGCGCUGUGGAGCCAUUCCAGCUGCACCACUUGCUUUCAAUGUGCGCUGGAGUAGUAACAGAAGAGUUGAGGCAUUGGAUAACCAGUAGGCCAAAAUGUCAUUGUUAUCCUGGGUCUGCAAUCAGAAUGGAAUAUUUAAAUAAAAAGGGAAGCUACUAAUCAUAAAAGAAGAAGAUAAUGCACCAUACUAGCAUAUAGGAUUGAACAAUUCAAACCUCAAUAGCCUGGCCUAUUGUCUGGAUAAUCCGGUCAAAAACACUAGUCCGUUCAACUUCAAAUGAUCUCCAUUGCAGGAGGCAUUUGUAUAUGAUACAGGCAGCAAUUGGUCUACUUCCUGCAAAGCCUAAGUGUUGUGCAAUGCAUCGAAUGAGCAGUUCCUGAUUCUCCUGCUGCUUCUCAUUGAGUGAUUUUUGUGGUUUCUCCUCUACUUCAGAAAACUCCCUUUGGUUUAGUGAAGGGCUAUGCAGAUCCUAAUAAUUUUAAAGGUGAUCAAUCAAAGAGAAAGAAAAUAUUGCUUUCACAAAACAGACCUUUAAGUUUGAAAGAGAUUUUUAGCAAUUUUACAUACCAAAGAAGUCCUUGCAUCCCCUGCAACAUGACCACCUUCAGAACUCCUCUGCCAAUUAUCAGACAUCAAUAAGUUUCCUGAAACAUCUAUAACAUUGAAUAUCAAACACCAAUUUGACAAGUCAUUUCUAUGAUUACCUGAACAAUUGAUUUGGAGCGUCCUGAAAGAAACUUAUUGGGUGCCAUGGACACAGCCUGUUGACGGAGAACUUGAUUUUCUGAUUCUAAAUUAGUAAGCUUCUCCUCUAGCCUAAUUACAGAAGUUCAAGUGUUUGGUUAACCGUACUACAAAAGGACUGGUACUGACUACUUUCCCAAUAUAAACAUGUAACUGCUGCAUAGAACAUGGGAAAUGGUACUAGAAAUGGACAAAAGAAGUUGAAGUAGUUCAAAUAUUUAACUUCAAAACAUCAAUGGUCAAACAUCAAAUGUUAAAUGCACAAGACAAUUUCAACACAAAUAAACAGUAAGGUCAAUAUAACUUUUGAAGAAACUAAAACAUCAAUGCUUAAACAUUAAAUGUAAAUGCAGAUUAAUUUGUUUCUUCUACUUCUUACAGAGAUAAAAAGGGGGGAAAUAACUAAUGCAUAGAACUAAGAACUUAUUUUUGUAUUUGGUUAGUGAAUUCCUCUCUUAAGAUCAUAACUAAUUCAGUCACAGACCAAGCACUUUUUGCAUUUAUAGCUGUAGUCCAGCAACUGGUCAAUUGAUCUAUCCAGUAGCUGAUUAUGAGAACUUUCAAUUGGAACUUUAAAUUCUUUCAUUUAUGUUAAGAAUGGAUAUUUUUCAGUAACAGUGUUACAUGCAGUCAGAAUGGAACUAUUUGUUUUUGAAGUAUUAGACUAGCGAACCAUACAUUUGAGAAUGUGGUCGGUUUAACAAUCUUCCUUACAGAGAUUUGAUUGCUGUCAUGAUCAUUUGACACUUUGUCUGACUUUACACUAAAAAUUAUCUAUUCAUGAAAACUUUCAAGAAAACCACAUAUAAGAUGUCCACAAGAUAAAUGAAAAUCAGUAACAUGAGGGAAAAUCAUUCUUAAAGUGUUAUGCUACCUGCUCAAUGAUUCCUGGAGUUGCUGAACCUUUUUUUCUGUUUCUUCUAAUUUUUUAUGUCUUUCUUCACUAGAUUCUUGGGCUUCAGUAUAUUUCUUCUCAGAAUUGUCAGCUCUUUCUUUUUCUGACUGCAACAAGGCCUGUGGGGACAUAAAGGUUAAGAUCAUCAAAAUAACAAGAUCAUUAUCCAGUGCUAGAAAUAUAAAAAAACCUAUGCCCACCCAGUUGAAUCUUAGUUAAAUUUGUAAAGCUUACAUGCAUCCUGUUAUAGCUAUAGUUAAAGUUUGGCAACAUUAGUUGUUUCACUAGUAAAGUUUAACCAAUCCAAUCACUUCAGGCUAGCUCAAAGCUGCAAAACAGCACUGAUGCUGAUUUAGUCAUUUCACAGAUAAAGCAGGAUAAAUAAUGCAUCCCAAGACUUUUACCUUUUUGGUGAACCACCUGUUUAAGUAAUCAUUAGAUGCGGCCCUUUUGAUUCAAAUUAUUAUAACUAACUAGUUAUGUCGAUGAUCUCCGCCAUUUUUAUUUUGGCACCAAAUUUCACUCAAAUUAUAUAAAGUAAUAAACUUAUCAGAUUGCAAAUUGACUAAACAGAACUUUACUAAAUUUAAAAUCCAAAAUGUAGGUGCAACUCUUUACUAAAUUUAAUACCUCCUACCUCAUCAUGUUGAUCUAUUAUUAUCUACAAUCCAUAAUCUAGUCAAUAAAAAAUUUGCCCUUACUCUCUAAAAAUCAUUAUGCCGUGUGAUUUUUGGUUCAUGUUGGUUAUUCUGAGUGCAAUAAAAUUCAGAAAACUUUGCAAAGGUAUCUAUGUCCAAAUGCAGAAGAGAAUAGGUAGUAAUAAUUUGGGUCAAACCGCAUUACCUUGAAGCUCUCCACUUCUGCUGUUAGAGACUCAACUUUUUUGGUAUCUUCAACAAUAACUGGGGUUUCUUUAAUAACAGGUGGUGCCUCUUCAAUAGCCUUUCUUGCAGCCUCUCGUUCCUUGACAAGUAAUGCAUUUGUUUCAUCAACUUUGGUUUGCAUAGCUUGCAAAGAAUUCUGCAAUUUUGCUAUCUCCUGUGCUUUUGCUUCUUCUAAGUCAGUCUGUGCACAUGGUUUCAGAUUUUGGAUGAGAGUGUGUACAUUAAACAGGACAAAUUAGAAUUUCUAAGUCCUUAAGAUGGUGUAGAAUAAAAAAAUUAAGCACUUAAAAAAGGUUGAAGUCAAAUAGUUUCCUGUUAGAUUUUUUAAUUGAAAGUACAUCACUUGGUGCAAGAACAAAAGAAUCUUUUGGUGAAUUCUUUUUUUUUUUCUUUUGAUAGGUAAUUUUUUUCUUAAUUCUAAAUGUGUCACAAUCUUGGAUCUCAACUUCUCAAAGCAGACGAACACAUAAGACUAGCAAUAUCUUCUAGACUAAUUAGUGGCUCUCCUCAGAAUAUAAAUAUUUACCCUUAAACGCUUUUCCAACUGUAGACGCCAUGUUAAAUCCUCCACUGUUUUUUCGAGCUUGUCCUUCGCUUCUUUAAGUGCACCUGUUUCUCUUGCAGCCUACAAAAAAUUGGUAAGGGAUAUUAGCAUCCAAGCUGGGAAAAAGAAAAAAUUCAUGAUAUACUGCCUUCACCAAAAUGGAAUACCAUACAUAAUCCUUUUAUAUCAUUAACGGGAUGGAGACCAUGUGGUUGUGCAGAAAGUACUUAAUAAAAAAUGGCUCAGCCUAGCUUCAGUCUUCUGUCUACAUCUUACAUUAGUUAUCGAUGCAAAGGCAAAACUUUUUGGCUGAAACCUGAAUCUACAGGGAAAGGAUAGCUGUUCACUUGAUUAACAAUAAAGAGGACAGCUUAAUAAUACCUUCAUCUGUUUGUAGAUUAUAUAUAGUACCUCAAAUUUACUACCAGGCACAUGGAACAAAUAUCAGUUUAUCUUACUAAGUCUUUUUUUUUUUGUGCAAACAUCAUAUUCAGAUAUAGAUUUAAUAAAAGUGAGACAAAUGAGUCAUGUAGAAAUUGAGAACUCAAUUAUAUCUUAAACAAUGAUGAUGAAUAUAUUAGCUAAACUACUAUACACCCUAAAUCAACAAAUCAAAACUUCUAGGUGCAUACGGUGCAGCUAAAGCCUUAAAUCCACUAAUUGGGGGUACCUACAAAAUCCUUUUUAGAUUCUGGAUUCUGGGUCCAUGAAGUUGUAACUUGGGGGUUUACUCAUCAUCUAAGUCAUCUACAAAAAGCAGACUUCCCUCACCCAAGCUUAGGAUUGAUAAAACCUUACUCCCAUUCCAAUUUAUAAUUGUGUUAAAAGCCAGGGAAAAUAAUCAAUCCUUGUACUAAACAAGGUAAGCCAUCAUCCCUGUUACAGUGCAUGAUAUACAGUGUGAGGUCAAAUCCUACAAGCUUAAGCUUUUAGGAAAAUUGGUUGUUCAUCAUGGAAUUAGAGCCUUGUUUGAUGGGAGGUCAUGUGUUCGAACCUUGCAACCAUAUAUUUGUAUCCUCAAUUAAUUAAGCCUAAAAAAAGGCUGAUUGUGGUUGUUUGCUUAUGGGCCAAUGUGUCUCUCCAUGUGUGAGUAUGGGGCCGCACGUGAGGGAGGGUGUUAGAGUGCACGAUAUACAUUAUAGGACCAACUCCUACAAGCUUAAUCUUUUAGGAAAAUUGGUUGUUCAACAAUCCCCAUUAAUGUACUGGCACUUUUGCCCAACUCCUAUGGCAAAAGACAAACAAUGCUGACCAUUUUCAGCUUCCUGAGCUCUUUCUUGGCUACUCUUCCCCUCCAUCUGCAUUGUGAAACUAUUGCUCCUCUCUUGAGCUUCUUGUAGAAUGAGAAAGCUCUAUGACAGCGCCACCGGGCCUGCAUAUAGUUUUUUAAAAGAGCAUUUAUUAUUCAGAAUUCAGUAUACAGGGAAAUUGGCUUUCAAAAUAUAUAAUGGUAAGAAUAAAAUAACCUGAAUAACAAUUGCUGCUUUAGUUUGCUUCCUAAAUCUGAAUUCUCUAUGAGCAGCCAUUGCUCUUAAGCCUGUCUGCAAGACAAGCACUGAUACUCGAAGCUUGUUAAAGGUUUUUCUGGCUUCAUGUCUACGUAUGUUCUUCUGAAUUUUCACAGCAGCAGCCUCUCUUCUCAUGCUCUCAUAAAGUUUGCAAGCCAGCAUUCCUACAAUUCAUAUAAAAGACAUAUGAAAAUGGAAUUGAAAAAGGAAAAUGAACGAUCAGUCAAUUGAUGAUCCAGAGAGCUAUGCUGCAAAAGAAAAAUGGAUAGGAAGAAACUAAAACUACAACCAUAUCCUUCCAAUAAGAAGAGUGGCUCAAAAAACCAUGCUUUCAAGAAACAACUCUACAUUUAGUUGUGAACUAUGUUCAUGCUUUGUUAUUUUCAAAUGGAUUACCUCUCCAUAAAGAUUGCACAUGAAUGGUAGCCUUUCGCAAUGCAAUAAAACGUUUGCGAGCAUGAUAAGUCCGUAUACGCCUUUGGAUAGCCUUUGCUGCAUUACUAAGUACCUCUGCUCUUCGUGCAUCUAAUUCAGCCAUCUGACCAGCGCGUAAGAAAACCUUUGUCUUACCUAUCUGCAAGCAAUUUAGUGGAGAAUCAAAUAUAUACCUCUUGCCAAAGAUAUGGGUGGAUGCAUGGGAAUUCAUAAUUUAUACGUAUAUAAAACCAAAACAUGAUAAUAUUUUGCUUAACAUAAUUCAAGGUUCACAAAAGUCUGUGUUUGUAAAUUUUUGAAAGGUAUAGAUCAGAAAUUAUUCUAUAGGGAUGCUGCAAUAUGCUGGAUGCCAGCAAUAACUGAAUGAAGUGUACUAUUUACACAAAUAUGAUGUGAUCAAGGAACCUGUGUUUCAUUUGUUAUCACCAGUCAAUACAGGCAAAAAAGAAAUUCCUGUAUUACCUGAAACCCCUUAAGCCCCUUUUUCUCCAGAAUCUUUCUGCAUGCAACCUUUUCAUCAUAGCUGCUUAUACAUGCAAUAGAUUUGAAAAGGAGAAUAUGAACAUCUACCCAAGUAAAAUCAGAAAUUCUCAAAAAAAAGAAAAGAAAAAAUCCAACUAGCCUAGUACCCAGGCAGCAAACAAAUUACAAAAUUUCCACUCAGGCUUCAAUUUAGCCAAAAGAGGGCACUUACUUCCCUUCUAAAACUUCUUGAGCAAGAAUUCCAAAUCGAUUUAGGAAUUCAAAAAAAGGACGGCGUGUAGGAUACCCAGCACAACUGAUUCUGAUGGCCUCUAAAACACCCUACACAGAAACCAGUUAGUGACAACUGAAUGAAUUAAAACUAAGAAAAUUUGAAUAUGUAAGUGAAAAAAGCUUAAAACUACAAAAGUUAAAUUGUACUCACACCACAACGUAGUUGUUGCAUGAUAUUGACAUUCUCAAAUAUGGCAGGUUUUAGAAGGUUGUUUGGCUUUACACAUCUGAUGUAGUGAGGUUCUGUGGAGUUUAAUGUGUCCAUCAAUUGCUGUAGUUGUAGCUGCAUCAUUAGAUCGUAACAACAUUAGCUGUCAACUUCUUGCACUAAAAAAAACACAGGGAGCAGUGGGAGAAGUGCUGUAAAGUGGUAGUUGGGUUUAUGCUCUUAUCACAAUACUUCCAUGGUUGUGUUACAUUGAGUUGUCCUGUUGAAGUAAAAGCCAUCACCAUCCUCACCAGGAUAACAGAAGAAAAGAUACCUUAAAACGAGAACCAAUUGAAGAGAACUUAGAAGAUUUGGCAGACUCUUCAGGGAGUGGAGGGAAAAGGCCUGCUACAAAAGUACAUUUAGAAGCACCCAACAAGUCUUGAUGUUCUGGAACCACAUAGUCUUUGUUUUUGUCUAAAAAUUGGUCAGAUUGAUAUAGGACCUGAAAAUAAAUAUUAUAAGGGAAAAUAUCUAAAUGCAAAAGCAGCCAGCAGUAAGCAGCAACUGAUGACAACAUACCUCCCCAGCAUAAUGAGAAAUAGUGAAAUCUGUGCGAGAUAGUUUUGGCUUGAUAAAGCGCUUGUGAACUUUAAAUGUCUGAUAAAGCUUCUGUGAGAAUGUUUCAUGUGUUGAUUUUGGAAACAUGCUGCAAAACAAAAAUUCCCAGUGAACAACAAGCUUAAAAACCUAUAAAUUUUCCUAAAAGAAACAUCAGACUUCUAAGAUCAAUGUUCUUAUUAGAAACUAACACUUCUAUUGUAGCAUGUUAAAUGAACUACAGCAACCUUCCUCAGACAAGAAAUAGAGAAAUUUUAUAGAAAAAUGCAGAGAAUUUUGUACCAAGCUUCAUCUAGGAGAGCAACGAUUCCACCGGGUUUCUGCCAAAAAAAAAAAAACAUAAUUUCAAGUUUGUGGAUGAAAGCAAAUUCCAGUAUCCAGGUCCAAAUGGAAGGACAAAAAACAAGCUUGCCAUAUACUAAAACAUGAAAAAAGGGGUAUAUAAGGUAAAAAUGCUCCUUUGGUGAAAAUAAUUUUCAGUUAAAAUAACCUUCCAAGAGAGAAGUUUUAGUACUUAACAUUUCAAUAAACCUGGUAAGUCUGUUUUCAGGAGCAACCAAUAUAACCACAAUCCAAGAUCAUUGAAGUUCAUUCUGUUAAAAUGCUUUUCAGAGCCAUAGAAAAAUUAUUCUUGUUUACAUAAAAUCAACCAAAAUUGUAAUUGCAGUAGAAUCCUUUGCCUAUUAGAAACCAAAAAUAGGAGCUUGAAGGUUUUUAAAAUGAGGCACCAAGUGGCAGAUGCAAACAUUCUAGUAUACCCUAGCCAUUCUAGCACUCAUAUAAGCCACAUGAGGAGUAUGAGGCAUCAUUAUCAGAAGUGCACCAGUCCAGAUGGUAGGACCAGUAACCUGGUCACCCAGUCACCAUUUUCUUAAAAGAUAUGGUUUAUACACAAACAUGCUAGCUUGAUGGACAAUUUUUGACCAGGCAGGUGGCGAGAAUAAAACUCUUAACUGCCUUGAGAAAUGUGAUGCAACAGACAAGUAUUCAAUCUGCAAUCUGACUUAUGACAAUGGCAUAUCGACCAUUUUUCUACAGCAACAUCCUUCUUACUAGUUACCUCCUCUUUAUGUCUAACAGCUUGUCUAGGCCCAGAUAAAUGAAUAGAACAACUUUUGAAUCACAUUUAUAUAAAUGCACUAAUAAAUGUCUGAGUAAGCUCAACCCUCUAAAUCGGUUGGUAUCUGCUUCAGUUUUGAUAACUAGGAUAUAAGGUUCAUCGUCACUAAUCAAUGGCUAUUAAUGCAGAAGAAAAGAAUAAAACCUUUUCAAUGAGAUCCAGGACAUCUUGAUUAUCAACAAAUUCAAUGUAGCUCCAAUCAAUUUCUUCUUUUGUAUAUUCUUCUUGUUCCAUCUUGAAGACAUGCUGAGAAUUAUCAACAAAGCAUCUUAAGUAAAAAUAAAAUUUGAAUCAAAGCUGAAACGGUUAUGGUCUGAGAAGUUACCUGGUUAAAAUGUUGCUGCAGCUUCUCAUUUGUGAAAUUAAUGCAGAAUUGCUCAAAACUGCACAGCAUGAUAUGAUGAAAUUAAGUUACAAGUACUGCCAAGCCCUUCAGAGAUAACUAUAUAAAACAUUAUCUUAAUAUUUUAUUAUUGACUUGUUUUGGCUUUUCUAGCAGCUGUUACCUGUUAGUCUUAAAGCUUUCAAAACCGUAGAUGUCAAGGACCCCAAUAAGAGAUUUUGAAUUAGGAUCUUGUCCAAUUGAGACAUUAAUUUUAUCCACCAACCUGCAGAUAUUAAGUUAAGCACACUUAGCAUCCCAGUCCUUGGUCUGUUUUGUCUAUUAUUUAGGAAUUAAAAACAAUUUAAAUAACCCAAGUGAAGAAAACUAAUAAAAUUAUUCCAAAAGUUUAUCAUCUUACCAGUCAAACAAUCGAGAAUAUAUUGUCUUAGCAAAACCAUCCCUGCUAACUGUUGCAGCAAGAGGAUCAAGACUUCGCUUUAUAACUUCUUCGGGGGUGAUCAUGACACGUUUACAUAAUGCAUCUUCCAAGGCCAGAGGGUCACACCUGAAAUAAAGAUUAAACUCAAUCUAUAAUAUAUAAAGAAAUAUAUCAAAUGUCAGAACAUAAAUGUGAGUUGGACUUCACUCAUACAUUAGAAGCUCUGCUGUCAUUUUAAGAUGGAAUUUUGCCUUGUCAUCUUUUGGAACUGAAGAAUCAACUUCCUUUCCCUUAGUAAAUUCAAUGUUGCCGAUAUGGAGAAUUGAAGCAACAACUCUGAAGAUUGCUUCCUGGAGAGAGUGAGGGAGAGAGAGGGAGGGAGAGGGAGGGGGAGAGAGAGAGAGAGAGCAUUUUUCUCAAUUCAAUGUUAUAAAGAAGUUGAAUAUAUGCAAUAAACAUAGUUUUACAUAUACCUGUUCCUUUUCACUUAUUCCAACAAUAUCCAUAGCUCUCCUAGUGGCAAGAUAGUCGUGGGCAUCACUCACACCAACCAGUUCAUAGCAAUUUGACUGGUUCAGAUAGUGAAAUGAUUUGGGGUUUCCUAGCUUGUAUUUCUCAAUUUCCUGGAAACAUAUUAACAUUAGUUAUUUUGAUAAAUUGAAAAAAUUGAACAUCUCAGUAGCUCAGUCAUCCCAACUGGAAGAUACCUCCUGUGGUGCUGCACAAAGAAGGUAGAAGCAGUGGUAAUUGCGUUCAGGAUCAGAAAUUUGGCACACACGAGAUCUCUCUAGAAGAUAAGUUCUGAUGGCCGCUCCAGAUAUUCUUCCUUGCUUAUCAAACUGGAUCUCAACAAAUUUACCAAAGCGGCUGCACCAGGAUUAAUUUUAGGAGAAACAUCAAAACCAAAACUAGAAAAAGUCUCCGGAAUUUUACCAUGUUUAUAAAUAGUCAACAAAUAAAUUAAGAGGAACUGGUUCAUGCAAUCAACACUGCCCAUAAAAAAAAUAAAAAAUAAAAUAAAAGAAAAAAACGAUACAAAACUAGGUACCAAAUUCACUAAAUUGUCCUCCAUGGUACAAAGACUGAGUGCUGGAAGCCAAUGAAUGAAACAAGUCAACAUGGAAUUGAAGUCAAGUUAUAUGAUGAACAGGAUUCAUAUCAGGAUAGCCAUUAGCACCAUAUUUCACCACUCAAGUUGAAGAAUGUCUCACCUGGAAUUAUUAUUUCUAACAGUUUUGGCAUUGCCAAAUGCUUCAAGAACUGGAUUUGACUGCAUUCAUCAGAAAAUAUAGAAGUUCCGUAAGAGGUCAUUAACAACAUAAUCAAUAGAAAGUAACAAGCAACUUAAACUCAAUUUAGUAGAAAUAGAGAGUUUAUCAAUCAUACUUCAAGAACUUGUUGUUCAACUGUGCGUCCUUCGGUAGCCACCCGACCACCCAGAAAGGCAAGGUACCGCAUAAGCAUUUUGGUUGUCUCAGUUUUACCUGCUCCACUUUCACCACUGACUAGAAUUGAAUUGCUUUUUCCUUCAUUGAUCAUUGCCCUGUUUUGAAUUGGACACUGGAUCAUCAGAAACGUCAAAGAGAGAGAGAGAGAGAGAGAGAGAAAGAAUUCCUUGGCAACAAAAAUGAACUGGGAUCACCCAUAAGCAAAAAAAAAAAAAGAGAGAAAGAAAGAGUUCCUUGGCAACAAAAAUGAACUGGGAUCACCUGUAUGCAACAUCAGCAACUGCAAAAACAUGAGGACUUAGUUCUCCAAAAGGUGCCCCCUUGUAUUGUUGCAUCAUGUGAGCAUCAUAAAUAUGAGGCAAUCUUUGGAAAGGAUUAAUUGCGAUAAGUAUGUUUCCAGUAUAAGUCUGCCAUAAGAUUUAACAUUUGCAACAGAUCUUGUUACAUAGAUCAUAGAUGCAGUAAGAUUUUUCUAUUAGAAUAAUGAGCAACGAUUGACCAGUUUGAGAUAGGUAAGAGAAGCAUACAUAUAUCUCAUUGAGCUCAUAUCUAGAUUUCAAGUUUUGUAAAACUCCAGGUUCAUGCAAAUAAGAUAGCUUUGUCAUGUCAUCAACUCCACCAGCAGGAGCUUCCGUAUCCUUUGGAUAUAUUUUCAAUAAAUUCACAACAACCUUAGCAUUACCAAAAACAAAAAAAGUCAAAACCAUUAAUCGGGGUAGAGAAAUACAAGCAAUCUGCAGGAAUAGCCAAUGUAGCCCCUAUCUCUUAGAAAGAAGAGGGUAGAUAGGUCCUUGAGUUGAGAUAGAGAAGUUCUGGCCAAUCAAGUAGGAGUUCUCACACAAGUUCAAGCUGCUGCACAAAAUCUAAUUUGGAUAUGCAUGUGAAUAUAAUUCAUUAUGAUGUUUCCAAACAGAGAAACUAUAGGAUAUUCUACAGUUUCUGCCGUAAAGAAUACUGAAAAUAUGAAAUAUGAUAUACAAAAUACACAUGAAAUGCAUGUUUUCCUUCAUUUAUUUAUUUGUGUAUAAAACAGGGAUUGAGACUUACAGUUCGGGAGAGGGAGAAAGCAAGAUGUACAUAUUGUUAUCAAAAACCACGACAAAGAACAGUAAUAGGGAGAAUAAAAUAAAAAAAUGAAAACAGUAAACACUCAAAGCACACAACAAUUUAUAUGGUUUGUCCUAAAGUCUACAUCCAUGGACAAAGAUGAAGAAGAACCUCCACUAUUGUUCACAAUCCUAGAGCUCUCAAAUUCCAAAGCCUCAACUACACUCACAAAGAUCCUUUAACUUAAUUGUAGGAACAAAUUUAGAAGUCACAUCCAUUGAACCCUUCACUAUAUUGAUCUCCUCAUAGUGUCUCCCACACUUUGUGAAUAAGCAACAAAAUCCUCAUUAGCAUACUUCUGAGGUGGUUUAAUAUGCCUUCUCAUUUUGUCCCUAGCCAAAUUGUAUUAUUGCUCUUCUGGUGCAUUUUCUUUAUCAUCAAGAUGUUGCACCUCUUCCUCAUUUGGCUUUAUUGAAAGCUUUUUUCUAUGGUUCUUGAAGCUCUAGGCUCAAACUCCACCUUUACUAUCACACUAGGUUUGUUUUCUAUAUCAAAUUGUUUUCUUCUUUAGACUCAACAUUGCAUACUCUUCACAAGUCACAUUCCUAGUAAUCAUAAAUUUGGAAGAUUUUGAAUUUAAGCACCACAACCUGUACCCUUUUACAACAUUUACAUAUCUUAUAAUAUGUUCUUCCUUGCCCUUGGAUCCAACUUAACUUCAUUUACAUGUACACAAGCAUGACAACAUAAUUAUAAUAAUAAUUUACAUAAUCAACAAGGGAACCAAAUCAUACCCCUUCAGAAGCCCUACAAUUAAUAGAAAUUGAAAGAGAAUUAUUCAUAAGAUAACAAGCUAAAUUAAUUGUUUCAACCUAAAAUUCCUUCGACAACCCUGCAUUUAAAAGUAUACAACAUGCUUUCUCUAGAAAAGUUCGAUUUAACUAUUUUGCAACACCAUUUUGUUGUGGAGUAUAUGUGGCAAUGCAAUGUCUCAUAAUAAUUUCAUUCCUGCAAAAGUCAUUGAACUAUUUUCCAUAGAAUUCCAGGUCAUUGUCAAUUUCAUCUAUUUUCUUGUCUGCUUUUCGAUCAUAGCUUACCAUCAUCACUUGAACUUUCCAAAGACAUCACUCUUAUGUUUCAAGAUAUAUACUCAAACCUUUCUAGAGCAAUCAUUGAUGAAGGUCAAUAUCCAUCUUCCACCACCAUGUCAUAUAACCCAAGAAGGGCUCUAAAGAUUUAAAUAGAUUUCAAAGUAACUUUAGUCUUGUGAAUAGUUGCAUUGCACGUAACCCUACAUUGUCUCUUGAAUACACAAUGCUCACAAAAAUCAAACUCUCCCAUAUUCUGCCUACCAAGCAAACCUUGUUAGCUCAAAAUUAACAAUCCUCUCUCACUCAUAUGCCUAAGCCGCAUACUCCACAACCUGGUAGUCUUUGAAAUUGUUUUUGAGGUUGAAACUAUAGUUGCACCUAUAACCGUGUUACCUUGCAAUGUAUAAAGACCACUAAUUUUUUGUCAUUUUAUCACAACAAGAGCACUCUUUGAGAUUUUCAUAACUUCACAUCUAACUUUAUAUGUGCAACCAUUGAAGUAGAGUAUCCCAAAGAAAUCAAAUUUUUCUUCAAUUCGAGAACAUGUCUUACAACAAUUAAUGUCCUUACAAUGUCAUCAUGCAUUUUAAUUCCAAUUGUGCCUAUUCUAACAACCUUAUAGGCUAUCUUGUUUCCCAUAAGAAGCUUCCCACCAUUUAUAACUCGGUAAGUACUAAACUGAUCCAUAUUGGUAGGCAUAUGAUAGGAGUGACUUGAAUCAAGGAUCCACCCAUCACUUGAAUUACUAACAAUAAUUGAAAAGGCAUUUGCAAUAUCCAAAUUUUCUUCUAUAAUUGGUGCGUUACCAGAAUUAGAAGCUUUCCUUUCUUUUUUUUUACCUUUACAUUCUAGACAAUUUCUCACAUAAUGUCUUUCCUUGUUUCAAUUGAAGCACUUGUUGUUUUCCUUACACUCUAAUUUAGAUAUGGAUUAACCUUUCCUAUAAUUAUUUUUCUUUUCUAUUCUCCCUCUAGCCACCAAGUCUACACCAAAGCUUUCUUCUCUAUUCUUGAGACCCUUUUCUUCAACUUCUUUGAGUUCAGGGUUGCCCUACCAUACAUAAUGGAAUCCACAAAUUACUUAUAAAAUUUUGGCAUGGAACAUAUCAAAAUUAUGGCUUAGUCUUUGUCAUCAAUUCUAACAUCAAUAUUCUUCAAGUCAAUAAUAGUUUUAUUGAACUCAUCAAGGUGAUCUUCGUCACAUACAAACUUUAUAGCUUCAACCAUACUUUGGGAGUCAUAUCCUCUACUACAACCUCACAAAGUACCUCGUUAGCCAAACAUAAUAGAAUAACAUUAUGCACUUUCUUCAUAAAUUCAUCAUUCUCUUCAUUAGACAUCAUCAUUGGUAGAGCCUCUUUUACUUUUAGUGUUUUGAAAAUCCUUGGUGAGCCAAUAAGGCACACAUCUUAACGCGCCCUAAACUGAAAUCGUUUCUUCCAUCAAACUUCUCAACCUCAAACUUUAUCCCUAUUCCAAGUCUAACAACCACUCUAUCUUUUAGUGGUUUAGACAAAACCAGUUGAACCACCAAGGCAUGCAUCUUAAUGCGUUAAAAAUUGAAAUCUUUUCUUCCAUCACACCUCUCAACCUCAAACUUUGUCGCUAUUCUAAGUCUAACAACCUUAAGCUCUAAUAAUAGCUUGUUGUGAAAAACCACGAUAAAAGACAAUAAUAGAGAGACGAAAAUAAGAGAAUGAAAGCAGAAAACACUUAACAAUUUACACGGUUCACCCUAAAGCCUACAUCCACGGAUAAAAAUGAAGAAGCACUUCCACUAUUGUUUACAAUCCUAGAGCUCUCAUAUCCCAAAGCUCUAAUUACACCCAAAAAGAUACUCUCCCUUUUAAUAAAAAUCUCUUUCUAUAUAUAUAUUCCCAAUUACAUAGGAAGAUUUCAUAUAGGAAACUCAUUACAUAAUUGUCAAAGAUACCAAUUCCUAAGAGAAGAUCUCACUAUAAUUUCCUUUAUAUCAAUAGGAAAGUUCCUUACAUGAAUAUAUCAUAAUAGGAAAAGAUCAACGACUUAUAAAUUGACUUGAAAUAGAAUUUGAGACAAUUUCCAACACAUGAUGAUACUUGAGUCCAAAAUGAUCUAUUUGGGCAAUUAAUAAUAAAUUUACACAAAAAUAGGAAAAGAUCCAAGCAAGUCAAAACUAGUUAGUGGAAUAAAGGAAAUGUUCAUCCACUUGUCAUCUAUGUUAAUACAUGAUAGAGCUAGUUCCCUUCCAUAACUUACAAAUUGUGAGAGAAAAAAAAAAGGAUGAUGAGGCUAAUCAUCAAGGAUGCAAGUAUAAUAUCAACAAACAUGAAAAGAAUAUCAUUAAAAUGGCUAAAAAAGAAGAAGGUAAGACUUGAUAUCCAUCCACCUUCUUUCCCUUAGUAAGCUCUAUUUCAGCUUCUGCUCCAUUGAUUUUUGUUACCAGUCCAUCAAUCCAAGCUGCUUCUGGGUCUUCAACCCAGACUUGAGAACCUACAAUAAUGUUCACUGCAGUGCCCUGCAGCAAUUAGAAAUUAUGUGCACAUGUUAAAGGAUAAAUUUGUUUUCCAGAAAAUGGAUCUAGAACUUAUUUUGAGAUGAAAAAAAACAGUUAUGUGGAUUAUUCCAGACAGGAACAUAAAAGCAUAGUGUUUGAAUCACAUUCAUCCUCCUUGUCUUAAUAAUCUUAAUGGAAAACACACGAGUUAUUACCAACCUGGAGAAAAGUGAAUGAAGGAACAAACACAAAGAGAGGCUCCUAGGAAUGUGAAAUUACUGCUUAUCUCAAAAACCUAAACUUCUAAACAAUGGAACCAGAAUGCAUAUCAAGCUACCAGAAAGAGAAUUCCUAUUUGUUAAAAUAUGAUGGAGAAAUAAAGAAAGAAAAUAGAAAUUAUUCUAUAAUCCCUAAGAAAACAAGUGAACACAAAUAAUAAAACCACAUUUCAAUAAAAAAUGCUAAGAAGAAAAUAAUUCAAAAUUCGAUGAACGACUUUCAAAAGUAGAGAUGUACCAUUUUAAGCUUUAAUCCAAAGCCCACGUAUUCAAAUCUCUGAGCGCAUGAAUUUCCCUUUCAGAAUUUUCUCCAUUCACCUCCCUAGCUGAAAAUAACCUUUCUGCCCAAAAUUUUGAUGAAUCUGGAACCAAACCGAUAAAAAAAAAUUAAACUUUGCAUGAUCUCCACUGCGACCCCAUCAUGGACGGUGGCAGAAAAUGCGGGAAAAUGCCAUUUUCCCGAGAAAAAAUGAAGGGAAACGAAGAGAAGAAUCGAUGGCGUUGAAGUGAAUGCCAAUGGGAACCGAUUUUGUUGUUCCUGUGUUUGUUCUUUGUCGUCUUCGUGUCGCUCAGUUUGUGGAAGUGACAUUCUUCAAGACGACCAGUAAAUUCGUUUCCUUCGAUUUCGCGCGGUCUUUCUCUCUCUAGAAACUGCUUCUCUCAAACUUUGCCCUUUUGUAGGAAAUUCGUGGCUCCCAAUUCCCAACUGUCUUCUCUUUCUACUUUCUCUCUCUAACUUUCACUGCCUGGUGUUGCAGUCGGUAGUUUAAUAUCAUGCAACUCAUCAUUGUAGCCGUUCGAUUCUGCUCCACCAUAUCAUGACCAGGAGCUUUAUUUUUGGACCAUUUUCCCUCGAAUCACAAAAUCCUCUGAUUCUUUUUGGUUUUGCAAUAAUCUAUAUAUUACUCUCAAUGUGAAUAAUAUAUCUUACUUCUAAAAUUUUGAUUGACAAAGAUAAGCAUAAUUUCACUAUUUUUUUUUAAUUAAUUAAAUAAUUUAAGAGGGGGUUUGAAUAACCCGAUUUUAUAAAUAAAUAUGAUUUUUUUAGUUCUUAUAUGAAAAUAUAGAAAAUAGUAAUAACUUGUAUAUAAAACAUACAAAUUAUUGCCUAAAAAGUAGAGAACUCAAAGAGUCCGGAAUUGAAAUAGAGACUUUAAAGAAUAUGCAUAUAAAAUAGAGAAGUUCAAUUUGAAAGAUGAAAUUUAUCUUUUAAAUAAUAAUCCAUUAAGUUUAUUUAUGGGGUUUCUAUUAGAUAAAAAUCUAUUGAGCUAUCGAAUUAUAAGUCGAUACGUUGAUAAGAUAACACUAGAUGUGUGUGAUGUCAAUAAGAUAAUGCAAUGUGUAAAACUACUUGACCAUUUGAUGAAAAAUAUAUUGAUAUUUGGCUAAAUAGUCCUCAUUCCUUUCUAAUUUGGUUGAAGGAAUUUGGUAUUAGAUGACAAUUCCAUGUCAAUGAGCCUAUGAGGUAGGUUAUGUGCUAAGCCCAUUAAAGCUCCCUAAGCCCAAUACUAAUCCAAGCAUAUAUGAAGCAUUUGGGCACUAGGUCAUUAGUCACUUAUGAGGGAAGCAUAGAAAAUAUUUUUAAUGUGAUGAUAACAUAAAUUUAAGUGGCUUUCUUUCUUAAAAGGAGCAUAAAAACUAGUUAUGACAAAUCAUGUUGAGAUAUCGUACCCGCACGAUAUCAAUAUAGGGGUAAAACAUGAUACGAGUAAAUAUGAACACAACUCAUGUUUUGGCACAAUACAACAAAAUAUCAUAGGUGACCCAACUUGACAUUGACUUGACUUACUAACACAUUUAACUUGAAUUUAAUCUAAAUAGUCUAAAAAUCAACAUAAAUUAUUAAAUACUUUAUAUCUAAAUGUAGACCAACAUUAGCCUUGAGAUGAGAGCACCACCUUAUCCCUUGCCUUUACAAUCACUACCUUGCCUGCAUCUCUAAAAGGUUCAAGCCACUAUCUCCAUUGUCAUCUCUCCCUUCCUAUCAUCAUUUUUGUCCUUCACCAUAAUCAUAGUCAUCUUUCUCCACCAAUUGUCAUUGUUUUCAUGGACUAUCACUACCCUCUCCAACCAACAUUAAAUCUCCAUAAAAGGAGAAGUUACCAUUAAUCUACUUAUCUGUCUAUAAUGGGUGUAGGGUUGGAAUAAGAAAAAAUAGAGAAGAUCAAGUAGUAGAUGAGAGAAUUAGAUUAAGGUUGUAACAUUUAGCCUUUUUUUGUAGGUGGCUUUUGGAUGUGAGAAUAGGCCCUUUUUUAUUUAUAGGUCUCCACUUAUUUUAUUUAACCUGGUUUUCAAAUUUGGUGUGCACUAAUUGGACCUUUUUUUUAAGUGUUUUUCUUUGGUGUGACAAUAAGCUUGAUAUUCUACUAAACAUGGCUUUAGCCUGGUUUUCAAAUUUGGUGUGCACUAAUUGGUCCUUUUUUAAAGUGUUUUUCUUUGGUGUGACUAUAAGCUUGAUAUUCCACGAAACAUGGCUUGGGUUGGUGGUUAUCUUUUUGGUUUGCAAUUAUUUCUUGGAAAAUACAAUUAUUUUUCCCUACAUUUAAGUAUCAAAGCUAAGCUUAUCAAUUGCUUAAGGUAUUAUGUGGUCUUGGACCAAUAUUUGAGAUAUUGUACUAAAUGAAAAAUGGUUUCGAGUUACCUUUUGAAAUGUCAGAAAACUUGUCAAUGAAACAACCAAUAGAGAUUUUUUUAUCCUAAGUCAUGGAUGAAACUACAAAUAUAAGAACCACUGAGUUAUCCAUAGCACAAUAUCUUAACCCUCAUUUCUAUGAAGAAAAUAGGGGAAAAAAAAAAUUAAGAAAAGACUUUUGUUCCAAAAAGAAGACUCAUCUUCUUUUUGAUUUUUGAUUUUUAUUUUUAGAGAGAGAUUUUUUAUUUUUAUUUUAAUUUAUAGUGACAUUUUUUAGGUAGUUUUAAAACUCUAAGAAACUACUUUCCUAACACAAUUUUUUAUUUAUUGGGUCGGGUCGGGUCAACCCACUUGGGCACCCAAACCCAACUCCAAUAUGUAUCAUUAAGGAGUUACAAAGCUUAUGGCAAGAGUUUGUAAACAAUGGAGAAUUUUAGCAUGAGCAAGUCCAGAAAAUUUAAAACUACCAUUACAAAAAUUGUUUAAAUCAAAAUUAAAUCCUACCUUGAAGAUUAAGAGUUAUAAGAUGUCCUUGAUAGAGGUGACAUCAUACUACCAAGCCUAAAAAAACCUAAAGCACAAGGAAAUGGAGAAUUAUAGUAAAAAAAAAAGAAAAAGAAGAAGCAAUCUACAUGUUCUAUGUAGUAUUGAAGACAAGUCACUUGAAUACACGUGGGAUAUAGAAAUGCCUAAGGCAAUAUGGGAUGUAUUUUUUUAUCUUUAUUUAAAGAACAAAUGAUGACCAGUUGUAAAAUGAGCUAAUAUUAGUUAUACAGGGUAAUAUGAGAGCAAGCCAAUAUUUUAUGGAGGUAAAAUCUCAAACUUGUGAAAUUUCUCAGUUAGAACCUAAAGUUAAAUUUAACGAGUAAAGACUCGAGUGAAUCAUUAUUCAUGGCAUAAAACCCAAAUGCAAUGGGUUAAUUGUUUCAAUUCAAGGAUGUUCAACCCAACUAUUGCUCUUGGACUUGAACAAUUUACUAGCUAAUUUAAAAAGUUUAGUGUAAACCCUUCAUUUUAGCAUCUUAGCAUAUGAUACUUGGUGUUUUCAUGUACUUAUCUCUUGCCCUAUAGUCAUUCUUUAGUAGCCCAUUGAUACUCAUAUAACUUUUUUUUUCUUAAAUUACCUUUCAAACCUUUUGUUGAGAGAUUUUUCUAAACCAUCAUUGUGACUUUAACAGUCUCUUUAGUUUAGUUCCAGGCAUAGGUCACUUAAUUUUUUUUUUUAGGUUAAGUUCAACUAGGUGUUUUUUAGGUGUAGUUCAAUUAGAUUCAAUAUUAAAUUAAAUUGCAUGCUUUUAGGAUUAAGUGAGCAUUUGACUUGAUUUUAAUUUUUGAUUGCAGAAGAAUACCGAUCUUUAUUUGUAUGAGUUUAAUAUUUCGAUUGUUAUCUAUUACAUUAGUUUUAAUAUAUAUAUAUAUUUUAUUGCAUACUUGAUAUUGGUAUUUAUAUUAUUGAUAUUUAUAUUUUUGUUUUAUUUAUUCAUUUAUUUUAGAAAAUUGCAUGAGAUUGAUGAUUCUAUUUUAUUUUUUUAAUUUACAUGAAUUAAUAUUUUGAUUUCUUACAAAUGCAUGUGAUUGAUCGAUCUUGUUAUUUUCAUUUUUAAUUGCAUGAUUUCUAAUUUUAUUAUUAUUGCAAGAUUUUUAAUUUUUAUUUUAUCUUUGCAUGAGAUUCUGGUGGCAACAUAAUGGAGAAUUCAUGAAAAGUGUGGCUCCAUAUAUGGAGAUAUCUAUGGCUGAAUUAUUUCAGGAAGAGUCACCACUAGAAUUUGGCAAGGAUCUGAGGUACUCCAUCGCAAAAAGGGAAGCACAGACUCUCGCAUACUAAAAGGAAACUCAGACUGCCAAGACUUACCUUAAGGUCACGCCUUCACGUAAAAGGGAGCAGCAUCAAUUUUUUUUUUUUUUGGAGGAACCAGGACUAUAUCCUUAAAAAGCAUACCACGCACAAGUUUGGAAGAAGGAUCAGUUAGAAAAGUCAACACGCAUUCAUGGGGGAGCGCACCAUCUAUUUGUACCGUGCUUUCAAUUAAGAAAGGGAUGUCAGUCUCAUUGAACAUUUUAGCAAGCUUUUCUAAUGCUUUAGUCGUAUCAUAUUUGUAAUUCUGAUCUCUCUGGCUUUUCUAGUGCAUAUAUCAUUGUAGAAAAAACACUUUAAAAGACCCACACAUAGCAUAUAAAAGGAGACGACGAUUGAUUUGUGGAGAUGGAGAAUUUUCUCUAGAAAGGUGGCUACUUUGUGGAUCACACGCAUCCAAAAGAAAAAGGUGCCACACACGAGAUUGGGGGUAGCAGGAUAUUGACUAGGGGCCUUUCUUUAGAAGGAACACAGAUUGGUCUUGGAUUAAUGAAAGAAUUCUAGUUGGAUGCACCAUACAAAAGGAGAUUUUUUUUUUUUUUUUUUUAUCUCCCCAAAGCACCGGGUUGCACCUUUUAAGGAUUGCAUGCACCAUUGAGGACACCAGUUUUUUUUUUUUUUUAAAGGGCACAAUCAGUUUAGAAACACAACAUGAUUGGGAAAAGGCAGCAGGCUGCCACUUUGGAGACAACCACAAAGCGCACAAACCCAUCUUAAAGAGGAGCAGCCUGCGUAAAUAAAAAAGGCUGCCACUUUGGAGACCCCACAAGGCAACACGCACAAUUGAAAAGGAGCACACCACAACCGCACCAUGGGAAUUUUUUUCUCCAUCAUGCAUGGAACUCGUGGCCACUUUGAGAGUAUAAAAGAUACACACAACUUGCAUGUGGAGAGCAACCACGACUGCAUCCUUUUGACAACACGCACACAUCCACGAGGUUGGAGACUAUGCGAUCGAAGGUGAGUUUUUUGCUUUUAGGAUGUGCGGUUCCGAUUUGAUUUUGUUUUAAUCGCAUUUUGGUCCAUCAGUUUACGUAUUAUUUGUUAUUAGUUGUUAAUUCUUGAAUGAUCUCAUGAUAGUUUACUUGCCUUAAAAAUCUUUAAUGGUUAAUUUUUGAAUUGUUCUCAUGUUAGUUUACUUGUUUUACAAUAUUUAAAGUUUAGUUUGGUCAAUCCCAUGUUAAGAUAUUCAUGUUUUGAAAUAUUAAUUUUAGUUUUGAUACAUCUUAUUUAGUUUAUAAUUCUUUUAGAAUCUUAGUUAAUUAAUUUAGUUGAUUCCAUGCUACAAUUUUUAUGUUCCAAGUUUGUUGAUUUAUCAAUAUUUAUUUUGUGUGUUUUUGGGAAUAUUAAUUAAUUAACUUAGUUGACUCAUGUUACAAUUUUUAUGUUUCAAGUUGUUAAAGUCUUUGAUUUAUCAAUAUUUAUUUAAUGUGUUUUUUGGAAUUAAGUUAAUUAAUUUAGUUGAUUUCAUGUUACGAUUUUUAUGUUUCAAGUUUGUCAGUUCAAUAUUUGAUUUAUCAACAUUUAUUUUGUGUCUUCGGGAAUUUUAGUUAAUUAAUUUAGUUGAUCUCAUGCUAUAAUUUUUAUGUCUCAAGUUUGUUAGUUUUAGAUUUUGAUUUAUCAAUAUUCAUUUUGAGUGUUUUCCAAAAUUUUAGUUAAUUAGUUCGAUUGAUUCCAUGUUAUGAUAUUUUAGUUCUAAAAUUAUUAAACUUUAGGUUUUGAUUCAUCUUAUUUAGUUUGAGUGUUAUAUAUAUAUAUAUAUAUAUAUAUAUAUAUAUAUAUAUAUAUAUAUAUAUAGAAUUUUAGUUGAUUAAUUUGAUUGAUCCCAUUUUAUGAUAUUUAUGUUUUAGAAAAUAGUUAAUUUUAGUCUUUAAUCCAUCCUCUUCAAUUUAUAUGUUUUUUCAGGAUGUUAGCUAAUUUAAUUUAAUUGAUCUCAUGUUAUUAUUUCCAUGUUUGAAGUUUGUUAGUUUUAAUUCUCGAUUGAACGUAGUUUAAUUCAUGUGCUAUUCAAAAUUUUAGUUAAUUCUUAUGUUGUUAUGCUCAAGUUUUAGAAUUGCUAAUUUUAAUUUUUGAUUAAUCCUUACUUAGUUCAUGUGUUUGAUUAGAAUUCUAUGUGCUUGCGUUAUUAUAUUCACAUUGUCAUAUUCACAUGUUUAUAUGUUUAGUUGGUCUUAUGUUAGUUCUCUCUUGACCUUAUCUUAGUUUAUAUGGUUUUAGAAUCAUAGUGGUUAGUUUAUGAAUCGAUAUCUUGUUAGUUUGUUGAAUCUAAAACGCUUUGCUUGUUGCUUUAGUGAUCCUUUGUUUAAUUUGAUUUUUUCAGAGGCUUUUUGGAAAACCCAAUGUUUAAUUUGAAACUAAUUGGUCACUACUCUCACCAUAUUAGUUUGUUUGGUUGUAAAAAACUUCACUUUGUGAUUUUAGUUUCUCUUGUAUUACUUAGUUUAAAAUCCUUAUGUUUUGUUACUAGCAAAUGCUAAAUUUUUGUUUCUCUUUUAAAAAGAAUAAAAUCAAAUUUUAAGGAUAUAAAGAAAGUCUUUUUUUUUUUAUUUAUUUAUAAAAAUUUAUAUCUUUUGUAUAAAAGUUAUUAUUAGAUCUCCUUGUUCUAACCCUUUCCUUUUUUCGGGAUUUCUAUUUCUUAAUGAUAUCUCAUAAUAAGAUUUUUACUUUUAAAAACAAAAAAUAAGAAUUCUUUACAACAAUCUCAUAUUUCCAUCCAUCUGGUUGCUCUUUUUUUUUUUUUUUUUCCUUUUUUCUUGUUUGUUCGUUGCCUUUUUAUGAUUUUGAUAGUUGUGACUAUUAUUUUGAUGUAUAGAUACUAAGCUUAAAUGACUAGUUACAAUCUAUUUUAUUUUAGUUUCAUUCACAGUUGGCCUUUGUUUUUUAUAUGUGAGAUAAUUGUGGUAACAUGGUCUUGGAUUGUGAAAAUUUUAUAAAAAGAUAUGUAUAGGGAUGACAAUAACAUAGGUUUUUUCAAUACUUGUCCCUCCCACCCUAAUAGGACGAUUUAAAAAAAAAAGCAAACAAGUUUAGGUUUAUAUAUAUAUUUUUAAAUCGUGGAAUUGAUUUAGGGCGAGUUUGGGUUUGACUUUAUCCCAUCUUGCCCUACCUCUAUUAAAUUAAAAUUUAUUUUAAUUAUUUUUUUUUCAUUUUUUUAACAUAUAUAAAAUAUUACUUUUAAUAAAAAAAUAAAUUACAAAUAUUUAAUAAUUUAUAAAUUAUAUUUAUUUUUAAUACCAUUUAAAAUUUUUAUAAAUAAAAAAAUAUAAAAUAUAAAAUUUGAAAAAAAAUAAAAAUAAAAAGGUUAAACAAAGAGGGAUGGGGCAAGAGAGUGCGGAUGUGAGAAUUUCCUAUACUCGUCCCGCCCUAGCCCCAUAGAUAUAAAUAACGCGAUGGGGUUAGACCUAUCUAAUAGGUUGAACUUUCCAUUUUGGCCUAUGGCCCGGCAUGCCAAAAGGCCGGGUUAGACUAGCACGACCCAAUUAUUGUAGUGGGUUGGGCCGGCAUGACCUAAUUACUGUAACGGGUUGGGCCGACAUAACCCAAUUACUGUAGCGCGUUGGGCUUGCAAGACCCAAAGGAGCGGGCCGUGCUGGGCCUAAGGAGACAACCCGUCAUGCCAUCAUGCCGACCUAUCAUGCUGGCCAUUUGACCCUUAAUUUAAAAUAUCACUUUUUUUCUUUUUUUAUUUAUUAUUAUUAUAUGUCAAAUGUUUAUAAUAUUCCCCUCAACAACUAUAUAAUGGCUAGUUUAAGGAGUAAAAAAGUAAAUCAAUAAUUAUUUUUACUUUUUUUAUGUCAAGUAUCUAUAUUACCCCUCCAAACAACUAUAUAAUGGCUAAUUUAAAGUAUAAUUAAGUAAAUCACUCACUGUUAAUAUUUUAUGUCAAAUAAUUCUUUAUAAAUUCCUCUUAUUUUAAUUCUUUCUCACACAAUUCUCUAUUCUCUCUUUUUAUAUUGGUUACAAUUCUCUUUAAUAUCUCUUUCUACAAUUUUCUAAGUUUAAAUUCUCCAUAAGUACUUCAAUUCAAGGCUUCAAGUUAUCUUUUAUCCACAAGUGUUCAUUAAUUACAAGUUCUUUUGUGCUAAAGAUAUCUACUAACUCUACAAGUGGUCAUCAUCACAAGGUUGAGGUAUUUGUAUUUAGCUAUUUCAUUUAUUUAUUUUAAUUCUAUAUUUUAAUUUAAUUAUUUUCUUCCUUUUACCUUUUUUUUUUUCCUCUAAAAUUAAAAAUGAAUCCUCGUAACCUAGAUGUUGAAAACCUUGACUUUAGUAUUGAUGAAUGUAAUGAAUUUAAUCCUUUUGAAGAUGAGGUGGCCCAAAUUAUAGAUUAAUUACAAAAAUUAAUCUAACAGAGGAGACCUGCAUCCCUUCUAGUGUCCCUCAUUCUAACCUUUCUCAACCCAAUCCCACAAACAAAAGACCUAGGGUUAGUAUACGCACCGCUACAUCUAUAAACCCUAGGCAAUCCCAAAUAAGUCAAACUAAAAUGGGAUCUAGUGCAUCUUUAAUAUCUCCAUCUAUAUACAAUCAACAAUUCUUGAGAGAAGGGUUAGCUAGAAUGGUGGCUAGUUUGGGGCUUCCAUUGACAUUUGGAGAAGAUCCUAGAUUUAUACAUUUUAUGCACAAGUAUGCCCAACCAGCCUAUCAUAGAAUUCCUAAGACUACUUCUUGUAAUAAUGUAAUUAAAUGUUACAAAAAUAAAAAACAAUUAAUAAUUGAAGAAUUUAAUUAUCAUAGUGGUAGUCUAUCAUGACCUCAGAUAUAUGGACUAAUCAACAUAAUGAUCCUUUUACAUGUGUGACAACACAUUAUAUAAAUUCAAAUUGAAAAUUACAUAAGAAAAUAUUAGGUUUUCAUAAAAUAUUUCAUCCUCAUGAUGAGCCUAUCAUAUAUGAUUCUUUGAUAAGUGUUUUUAGAGAAUAUGACAUAUAAAGCAAAAUUUUUAAUAUUAUUUUUGCUAAUGCUUCAAACAAUAAAAGUGUCAUAAAUUUAUUUGUAAGAACAAUUAGAAAAGGUCCACUAAGUGAAAUGUUUCAUGUGAGAUGUGUUUGUCAUAUAAUUAAUUUAAUACUACAAGAUGAUUUAAAAUUAAUAUAUCCUCAUUAGAGGCUAUCCAAUAUAUUUUACAAUUUCUUGGUUCAUUUAGCAAAUUACAAAAUUUUUAUGCUUUAUGUCAAUCAAUAGGUUUGAAAAAGAGAAAAUUUCAUCGUGAUGUUAGUCAUCAUUGGAAUUCUACCUACCUAAUGUUAAAAUCUUGUGUAGGCUAUCAUAACAUAGGAUCAUAUUAUGUCAACAAUAAAAUAGGUGAAAUUAUAAUAACUUUGGAUAAUUGGGAGAAAGGUUUUUAUUUUUUAAAAUUCAUGAAAGUUUUUUAUAAUACUACUAUUGUGUGUUUUUUUGUAUAGAACACUACACCUUGUAUAGUACUUAAAUGUAUUUGUAACAUGAGUGAUAUGUUUCAACAAUAUAAGAAAUAUCCCUUUUUAGUGAAAUAUGUGUACAAAUGGAAUUUUUUUUUGAAAUAUUAGAAGACCAUUCCACCACUUUAUUGUUUAGUUGCUUGUAUGAAUCUAAGGGUUAAGGUUGAAAGUGUAGAAAACAUUUUAAAUUUCAUAGGUACUUGUAUGAACCAACCAUAAAACCAAAGUGUAAGAUGUAUGAACAAUUCAUAGGGAACGAUUCAUAUGAUAGUCUCUUUAAGUACUAUAACUCUACCUGCAUUUGAGAACGAUUCAUUCUAUAUGCAAUUAGCUAAAGGAAAGCGACAAGUUGGUCCUUCAAAUAGGGGUGAUAUUUCAAAAUAUUUAAAUACUGAUUAUUGUUCAUAUUUAUCCCCUAAUGAAGUAAAAAAAAAUUUGAUAUUAUGAACUGGCAGAAAUCUUAUGAAUCCACUUUUCCUAUGCUAUCUAAAAUGACACGUGAUCUACUAACUCCACCAAUUCUACUGUAGCAUGGAAAUCUGCUUUUUAUAUAGUUACAAAUAUAGUAGGAAAUAGGAGGACAACUUUUGUAGUAGAGAUGCUAGAAGCCUUGACAUGUUUGAAGGAUUGUGAAAAUGGACACAUAGGACUCCAAACUUUGAAAGAUGAACUUAAAAAAAAACCUCAAGAAAUUUGAUCUCAAUACAAACAAUGAUGUUAAAGAGAUUGAUGACGUUUGAAGAUGAAGAAUGAAGAUGAAAAAAGAAUAAUGAAGAUUAAAUAAGAAGACAAAAGUGAAUAUGAUAAUUGAAGAAUUAUAUGUUGUUCGUUUCCUUUAAAUAUAUUAAAUGUAGCGAAUUUUUAAAGGUUGAGUAAUGCAUAUGAUUAAUAGUUGGGUGCAUGCCAACUUAGUUAGGAUGUACUCAAACUAUAGUAAUGCAAUUCUCACAUUUUUCUCUCUCUAUUUUUUCAUGUAAUUUGUUGAAAUAUUGAAAAAAAAAAUAUUUAUAUUUUAUUUCCUUUUUUAUUCCAUUACUUUAAAUUUAUUGUUAUUUUGAUUUUAAAAAAAUUCAAAUAUAAUUUUUUUUAAUCCUUUUUAAAAACAAAAAAAAAAUUAACAUUUCUAUAAAUUUUACCAUUACAAAUUUGAUAAAUAUAAAUAUAAAAAAUAAAAAAUAUAAUUAUUAGAGAUGUAUAAAAAAUAAAAGGUAUAAUUAUUAAAGGUGUUUAAAGUAAUAAGAAGAAAUUUCAUUUAAUAAAAAAAAUUAAGACAAAAUGACUUAAAAAAUUAAAUUAAAUUUUUUAACAAAGUAGCCCAUGGGCCAUGGGAUGUUAGCACAGCUCUUCGACAUAGCACAACAUGAUUGGCCCGUAGACUUAUAGGUCGUGUUGGGUCAUCUAUUUUGUUUGCAUGGGUCGGAUCGACCUAGCACGAUUUUUAAAUUGGUCAUGUUAACAGACACAAUCCAUUGGACAACUCUAAAUGGGUUGAGGAUGAGGGUGGUUCAUGCAUUGUUAUCACCUAGAUAUGUAUUUUUACCGGUGACAUUUAUUAUCUAUGUAUGAAGAUUCUUGGGAAAACUUCGUUAUGGGCUGUUGAUCCCAAAAUAUUAGGAUUUUCAACCCCCGACUUUGGGAAAAUCAAGAAAUCUGCGUUGAUGUAAAAAAUAUUGGCAAUUCCAUGCACUCUACACCGAGGUGUGCUUUCAUUCCCAAAAUGCCCUCCCCAUUCGUCUAGCUCAGCCUCCACAUCUGAAUACCCAAAAAACCCUUAAAAACCCUCCCACCCCCCCCAAAAAUAAAAAAAUAAAAACGUCUCACAUUUUUUCACCUUGACGCAUACUCUCUCAACGGAAAACCAANNNNNNNNNNNNNNNNNNNNNNNNNNNNNNNNNNNNNNNNNNNNNNNNNNNNNNNNNNNNNNNNNNNNNNNNNNNNNNNNNNNNNNNNNNNNNNNNNNNNCCCACCCACCCAAAAAAUAAAAAAAAUAAAAACGUCUCACAUUUUUCACCUUGACGCAUACUCUCUCAACGGAAACCCAAAACUCCAUUUGUUCCUGGAACCGAACCUCAGCCUCGUCUUUCUUUUAAUCUUGAAAACCCAAAUCCUUGAAAGCCUAACCUCAUUUGCGUUUUCAAAGGGUGAGAUAGGAGUUGUCGUCAACACUGGAUUUUCAUUUUUUCGAAUGAGAGUAAUAGGUUAGGGCUUUUUGGGUUUUCGGAAUCAGAGCAAAAUGAGGCAGAGAGGUUUUGUAAUGAGAGUAAAAUGUUAGGGGUUUUCGGUUUUCCUAGAUGAGAGGAAGAUAAAAAAGGUUAGGGUGUUUUGGUUUUCCAAAAUAAGAGGAUAACAAGGAAGAUUAGGGUUUAGUUUCAAAGUUCAGUGUCCAUGGGAGAUAAAGCAAUUUAUUUGCUUUUCUGUUCUAGUAGGGUGUUGGGUGGAAUAUAGUUUUUUUUUUUUUCUUGCCUUUUCAGAUAUGGAAAUUGACCUAGAGGAUAAGGAAGGUCAUAUUAGGUAUAAAAAUCCCAUUCAGCAUAAAGUGCAUAAAGAUCUAAUAAUUUUUCACAUUAAUAUACGUUUCUUGAAAUUGGAAAAAUUAGAGUUUAAAAUCUCUAUUAUUUUGGGAUCAACCGCUCAAAACAUAAGUUUCCCAUUCUUGAGAAAACUUGGUUAUGGGCUGUUGAUCCCAAAAUAUUAGGAUUUUCAACCCACGACUUUAGGAAAAUCAAGAAAUCUACAUUGAUGUCAAAAAUAUUGGAAAUUACAUGCACUCUGCACUGAGGUGUGCUUUCAUUCCCAAAAUGCCCUCCCCAUUCAUCCAGCUCAGCCUCCACAUCUGAAUACCCAAAAAACCUUAAAAGCCCCCCCACCCUCCUAAAAAAUAAAAAAAUAAAAAUGUCUCACAUUUUUCACCCUGACGCCAACUCUCUCAACGGAAACCAAAAACUCCAUUUGUUCCUAAAACCCUAACCUCAACCUCGUCUUUCUCUUCAUCUUGAAAACCCAAAUCCUUGAAAGCCUAACCUCAUUUGCGUUUUCAGAGGAUGAGAUAGGAGUCGUCGCCAACACUGGAUUUUCAUUUUUCCGAAUGAGAGUAAUAGGUUAGGGUUUUUUAGGUUUUCGAAAUCAGAGAAAAAUGAGGCAGAGAGGUUUUGUAAUGAGAGGAAAAUGUUAAGGGUUUUCAGUUUUCUUAGAUGAGAGGAAGAUAAAAAAGGUUAGGGUGUUUUGGUUUUCCAAAAUAAGAGGAUAACAAUGAAGAUUAGGGUUUACUUUCAAAGUUCAGUGUCCAUUGGAGAUAAAGCAAUUUGUUUGCCUUUCUGUUCUGGUAGGGUGUCGGGUAGGAGAUAGUUUUUUUUUUUUUUUUUCUUGCUUUUUCAGAUAUGGAAACUGACCAGGAGGAUAAGGAAGGGCAUAUUAGGUAUAAAAAUCCCAUUCCGCACAAAGUGCAUAAAGAUUUAAUAAUUUUUCACAUUAAUAUACGUUUCUUGAAAUUGGAAAAAUUGGAGUUUAAAAUCUCUAUUAUUUUGGGAUCAACCGCUCAAAACUUAAGUUUCCCAUUCUUGGGCAAACUUGGUUAUGGGUUGUUGAUCCCAAAAUAUUAGGAUUUUCAACUCGCGACUUUGGGAAAAUAAAGAAUUUUGCGUUGAUGUAAAAAAUAUUGGCAAUUCCAUGCACUCUACACCGAGGUGUGCUUUCAUUCCCAAAAUCCCCUCCCCAUUCGUCCAGCUCAGCCUCCACAUCUGAAUACCCAAAAAACCUUAAAAGGCCCCCCACCCUCCCAAAAAAUAAAAAAAUAAAAACGUCUCACAUUUUUCACCCCGACGCCAACUCUCUCAACGAAAAACCAAAACUUUAUUUGUUCCUGGAACCCUAACCUCUGCCUCGUCUUUCUCUUCAUCUUGAAAACCCAAAUCCUUGAAAGCCUAACCUCAUUUGCGUUUUCAGAGGGUGAGAUAGGAGUCGUCGCCAACACUGGAUAUCAUUUUUCUGAAUGAGAGUAAUAGGUUAGGGCUUUUGGGGUUUUCGGAAUAAGAGCAAAAUGAGGCAAAGAGGUUUUGUAAUGAGAGGAAAAUGUUAGGGGUUUUCGGUUUUCAUAGAUGAGAGGAAGAUAAAAAAGGUGAGGGUGUUUUGGUUUUCCAAAAUAAGAGGAUAACAAGGAAGAUUAGGGUUUAGUUUCAAGGUUCAGUGUCCUUGGGAGAUAAAGGAAUUUGUUUGCUUUUCUGUUCUGGUAGGGUGUCGGGAGGGAGAUAGUUUUUUUUUUUCUUGCCUUUUCAGAUAUGGAAACUAACCUGGAGGAUAAGGAAGGGCAUAUUAGGUAUAAAAAUCUCAUUCAGCACAAAGUGUAUAAAGAUUUAAUAAUCUUUCCUAUUAAUAUACGUUUCUUGAAAUUGGAAAAAUUGGAGUGUAAAAUCUCUAUUAUUUUAGGAUCAACCGCUCAAAACAUAAAUUUCCCAUUCUUGGGAAAACUUGGUUAUGGGCUGUUGAUCCCAAAAUAUUAGGAUUUUCAACCCCCGACUUUGGGAAAAUCAAGAAAUCUGCGUUGAUGUAAAAAAUAUUGGCAAUUCCAUGCACUCUACACCGAGGUGUGCUUUCAUUCCCAAAAUGCCCUCCCCAUUCGUCCAGCUCAGCCUACACAUCUGAAUACCCAAAAAACCUUAAAAGCCCUCCCACCCACCCAAAAAAUAAAAAAAUAAAAACGUCUCACAUUUUUCACCCUGACACAUACUCUCUCAACGGAAACCCAAAACUCCAUUUGUUCCUGGAACCCAAACCUCAGCCUCGUCUUUCUUUUCAUCUUGAAAACCCAAAUCCUUGAAAGCCUAACCUCAUUUGCGUUUUCAAAGGGUGAGAUAGGAGUUGUCGUCAACACUGGAUUUUCAUUUUUUCGAAUGAGAGUAAUAGGUUAGGGCUUUUUGGGUUUUCAGAAUCAGAGCAAAAUGAGGCAGAGAGGUUUUGUAAUGAGAGUAAAAUGUUAGGGGUUUUCGGUUUUCCUAGAUGAGAGGAAGAUAAAAAAGGUUAGGGUGUUUUGGUUUUCCAAAAUAAGAGGAUAACAAGGAAGAUUAGGGUUUAGUUUCAAGGUUUAGUGUCCAUGGGAGAUAAAGCAAUUUGUUUGCUUUUCUGUUCUGGUAGGGUGUCGGGUGGGAGAUAGUUUUUUUUUUCUUGCCUUUUCAGAUAUGGAAACUGACCUGGAGGAUAAGGAAGGGCAUAUUAGGUAUAAAAAUCCCAUUAAGCACAAAGUGCAUAAAGAUCUAAUAAUUUUUCACAGUAAUAUACGUUUCUUGAAAUUGGAAAAAUUGGAGUUUAAAAUCUCUAUUAUUUUGGGAUCAACUGCUCAAAACAUAAGUUUCCCAUUCUUGGGAAAACUUGGUUAUGGGUUGUUGAUCCCAAAAUAUUAGGAUUUUCAACCCGCGACUUUGGGAAAAUCAAGAAAUCUGCGUUGAUGUAAAAAAUAUUGGUAAUUCCAUGCACUCUGCACUGAGGUGUGCUUUCAUUCCCAAAAUGCCCUCCACAUUCGUCCAGCUCAGCCUCCACAUCUAAAUACCCAAAAAACCUUAAAAGUCCCCCCCACCUUCCCAAAAAAAAAAAAAAACGUCUCACAUUUUUCACCCAGAUGCCAACUCUCUCUACAGAAACCUAAAACUCCAUUUGUUCCUGGAACCCAAAAAUUUUGGAACCCUAAUCUCUACCUCGUCUUUCUCUUCAUCUUGAAAACCCAAAUCCUUGAAAGACUAACCUCAUGUGCGUUUUCAGAGGGUGAGAUAGGAGUCGUCGUCAACACUGGAUUUUCAUUUUUCCGAAUGAGAGUAAUAGGUAAGGGCUUUUUGGGUUUUCGGAAUCAGAGCAAAAUGAGGCAAAGAUGUUUUGUAAUGAGAGGAAAAUGUUAGGGGUUUUCGGUUUUCCUAGAUGAGAGGAAGAUAAAAAAGGUUAAGGUGUUUUGGUUUUCCAAAAUAAGAGGAUAACAAGGAGGAUUAUGGUUUAGUUUCAAGGUUCAGUGUCCAUGGGAGAUAAAGGAAUUUGUUUGCUUUACUGUUCUGGUAGGGUGUCGGGUGGGAGACUUUUUUUUUUUUUUUGCCUUUUCAGAGAUGGAAACUGACCUGGAGGAUAAGGAAGGGAAUAUUAGGUAUAAAAAUCCCAUUCAGAACAAAGUGCAUAAAGAUUUAAUAAUUUUUCACAUUAAUAUACGUUUCUUGAAAUUGGAAAAAUUGGAGUUUAAAAUCUCUAUUAUUUUGGGAUCAACCGCUCAAAACAUAAGUUUCCCAUUCUUGGGAAAACUUGGUUAUGGGCUGUUGAUCCCAAAAUAUUAGGAUUUUCAACCCGCGACUUUGGGAAAAUCAAGAAAUCUGCGUUGAUGUAAAAAAUAUUGGCAAUUCCAUGCACUUUGCACCGAGGUGUGCUUUCAUUCCCAAAAUACCCUCCCCAUUCGUCCAGCUCAGCCUCCACAUCUGAAUACCCAAAAAACCUUAAAAGCCCCCCACCCUCCCCAAAAAAAAAAAAAAAAACGUCUCACAUUUUUCACCUCGACGCCAACUCUCUCUACGGAAACCCAAAACUCCAUUUGUUCCUGGAACCUUAAAAUUUUGGAACCCUAAUCUCUACCUCGUCUUUCUCUUCAUCUUGAAAACCCAAAUCCUUGAAAGCCUAACCUCAUUUGCGUUUUCAGAGGGUGAGAUAGGAGUCGUCGCCAACACUGGAUUUUCAUUUUUCCGAAUGAGAGUAAUAGGUUAGGGCUUUUUGGGUUUUCGGAAUCAGAGCAAAAUGAGGAAGAGAGGUUUUGUAAUGAGAGGAAAAUGUUAGGGGUUUUCGGUUUUCCUAGAUGAGAGGAAGAUAAAAAAGGUUAGGGUGUUUUGGUUUUCCAAAAUAAGAAGAUAACAAGGAAGAUUAGGGUUUAGUUUCAAGGUUCAAUGUCCAUCGGAGAUAAAGCAAUUUGUUGGCUUUUGUGUUCUGAUAGGGUGUCGGGUGGGAGAUAGUUUUUUUUUUAAAUUUUUUUUCUUGCCUUUUCAUAUAUGGAAACUGACAUGGAGGAUAAGGAAGGGCAUAUUAGGUAUAAAAAUCCCAUUCAGCACAAAGUGCAUAAAGAUCUAAUAAUUUUUCACAUUAAUAUACAUUUCUUGAAAUUGGAAAAAUUGGAGUCUAAAAUCUCUAUUAUUUUGGGAUCAACCGCUCAAAACAUAAGCUUCCCAUUCUUGGGAAAACUUGGUUAUGGGUUGUUGCUCCCAAAAUAUUAGGAUUUUCAACCCGUGACUUUGGGAAAAUCAAGAAAUCUGCGUUGAUGUAAAAAAUAUUGGCAAUUCCAUGCACUCUACACCGAGGUGUGCUUUCAUUCCCAAAAUGCCUUGCCCAUUCGUCCAGCUCAGCCUCCACAUCUGAAUACCCAAAAAACCAGAAAAGCCCUCCACCUUCCCAAAAAAAAAAAAAAACGUCUCAGAUUUUUCACCCCGACGCCAACUCUCUCUACGGAAACCCAAAACUUUAUUUAUUCCUGGAACCUUAAAAUUUUGGAACCCUAAUCUCUGCUUCGUCUUUCUCUUCAUCUUGAAAACCCAAAUCCUUGAAAGCCUAACCUGAUUUGCAUUUUCAAAGGGUGAGAUAGGAGUCGUCGCCAAGAUUGGAGUUUCAUUUUUUCGAAUGAGAGUAAUAGUAUAGGGCUUUUUGGGUUUUCAGAAUCAGAGCAAAAUGAGGCAGAGUGGUUUUGUAAUGAGGGGAAAAUGUUAAGGGUUUUUGGUUUUCCUAAAUGAGAGGAAGAUAAAAAAGGUUAGGGUGUAUUGGUUUUCCAAAAUAAGAGGAUAACAAGGAAGAUUAGGGUUUAGUUUCAAGGUUCACUGUCCAUGGGAGAUAAAACAAUUUGUUUGCUUUUCAUUUCCGGUAGGGUGUCGGGUGGGAGAUAGUUUUUUUUUUUCUUGCCUUUUCAGAUGUGGAAACUGACCUGGAGGACAAGGAAGGGCACAUUAGGUAUAAAAAUCCCAUUCAGUACAAAAUGCAUAAAGAUCUAAUAAUUUUUCACAUUAAUAUACGUUUCUUGAAAUUGGAAAAAUUGGAGUUUGAAAAUCUCUAUUAUUUUGGGAUCAACCGCUCAAAACAUAAGUUUCCCAUUCUUGGGAAAACUUGGCUAUGGGCUGUUGAUCCAAAAAUAUUAGGAUUUUCAACCCGCGACUUUGGGAAAAUCAAGAUAUCUGCGUUGAUGUAAAAAAUUCACAAUUCCAUGCACUCUACACCGAGGUGUGCUUUCAUUCCCAAAAUGCCUUCCCCAUUCGUCCAGCUCAGCCUCCACUUCUGAAUACCCAAAAAACCUUAAAAGCCCAUCCACCAUCCCAAAAAAAAAAACGUCUAGCAUUUUUCACCCCGAUGCCAACUCUCUCAACGGAAACCCAAAACUCCAUUUGUUCCUAGAACCCUAAUCUCUGUCUGGUCUUUCUCUUCAUCUUGAAAACCCAAAUCCUUGAAAGCCUAACCUCAUUUGCGUUUUCAGAGGGUGAGAUAGGAGUUGUCGCCAACACUGGAUUUUCAUUUUUCCGAAUGAGAGUAAUAGGUUAGGGCUUUUUGGGUUUUUGGAAUCAAAGAAAAAUGAGGCAGAGAGGUUUUGUAAUGAGAGGAAAAUGUUAGGGGUUUUCGGUUUUCCUAGAUCAGAGGAAGAUAAAAAAAGGUUAGGGUGUUUUGGUUUUCCAAAAUAAGAUGAUAACAAGGAAGAUUAGGGUUUAGUUUCAAGGUUCAGUGUCCAUGGGAGAUAAAACAAUUUGUUGGCUUUUCUGUUCCGGCAGGGUGUCGGGUGGGAGAUAGUUUUUUUUUUCUUGCCUUUUCAGAUAUGGAAACUGACCUAGAGGAUAAGGAAGGACAUAUUAAGUAUAAAAAUCCCAUUCAGUACAAAGUGCAUAAAAAUCUAAUAAUUUUUCAUAUUAAUAUACGUUUCUUGAAAUUGGAAAAAUUGGAGUUUAAAAUCUCUAUUAUUUUGGGAUCAACGGCUCAAAACAUAAGUUUCCCAUUCUUGGGAAAACUUGGUUAUGGGUUGUUGAUUCCAAAAUAUUAGGAUUUUCAACCCGCAACUAUGGGAAAAUCAAGAAAUAUGUGUUAAUGUAAAAAAUAUUGGCAAUUCCAUGCACUCUACACUAAGGUGUACUUUCAUUCCCAAAAUACUCUCCCCAUUCGUCCAGCUCAGCCUCCACAUAUGAGUACCCAAAAAACCUUAAAAGCCCCCCCCUCCCCCCCACCUUCCAAAAAAAAAAAAAAAAAGUCUCACAUUUUUCACUCCAACGCCAACUCUCUCUACAUAAACCCAAAACUCCAUUUGUUCCUGGAACCCUAAAAUUUUGGAACCCUAAUCUCUGCCUGGUCUUUCUCUUCAUCUUGAAAACCCAAAUCCUUGAAAGCCUAACCUCAUUUAUGUUUUCAGAGGGUGAGAUAGGAGUUGUCACCAACACUGGAUUUUCAUUUUUCCGAAUGAGAGUAAUAGGUUAGGGCUUUUUGGUUUUUGGAAUCAAAGAAAAAUGAGGCAGAGAGGUUUUGUAAUGAGAGGAAAAGGUUAGGGGUUUUCGGUUUUCGUAGAUGAGAGGAAGAUAAAAAAGGUUAGGGUGUUUUGGUUUUCCAAAAUAAGAGGAUAACAAGGAAGAUUAGGGUUUAGUUUCAAGGUAUAGUGUCCAUGGGAGAUAAAACAAUUUGUUUGCUUUUCAUUUCUGGUAGGGUGUCGGGUGGGAGAAAGUUUUUUUUUUCUUGCCUUUUAAGAUAUGGAAACUGACCUGGAGGAUAAGGAAGGGCAUAUUAGGUAUAAAAAUCCCAUUAAGCACAAAGUGCAUAAAGAUCUAAUAAUUUUUCACAUUAAUAUACGUUUCUUGAAAUUGGAAAAAUUGGAGUUUAAAAUCUCUAUUAUUUUGGGAUCAACCGCUCAAAACAUAAGUUUCCCAUUCUUGGGAAAACUUGGCUAUGGGCUGUUGAUCCAAAAAUAUUAGGAUUUUCAACCCGCGACUUUGGGAAAAUCAAGAUAUCUGCGUUGAUGUAAAAAAUAUUGGCAAUUCCAUGCACUCUACACCGAGGUGUGCUUUCAUUCCCAAAAUGCCUUCCCCAUUCGUCCAGCCCAGCCUCCACUUCUGAAUACCCAAAAAACCUUAAAAGCCCCUCCACCAUCCAAAAAAAUAACGUCUUGCAUUUUUCACCCCGAUGCCAACUCUCUCAACGGAAACCCAAAACUCCAUUUGUUCCUAGAACCGUAAUCUCUGUCUGGUCUUUCUCUUCAUCUUGAAAACCCAAAUCCUUGAAAGCCUAACCUCAUUUGCGUUUUCAGAGGGUGAAAUAGGAGUCGUCGCCAACACUGGAUUUUCAUUUUUCCGAAUGAGAGUAAUAGGUUAGGGCUUUUUGGGUUUUUGGAAUCAAAGAAAAAUGAGGCAGAGAGGUUUUGUAAUGAGAGGAAAAUGUUAGGGGUUUUCGGUUUUCCUAGAUCAGAGGAAGAUAAAAAAGGUUAGGGUGUUUUGGUUUUCCAAAAUAAGAUGAUAACAAGGAAGAUUAGGGUUUAGUUUCAAGGUUCAGUGUCCAUGGGAGAUAAAACAAUUUGUUGGCUUUUCUGUUCCGGCAGGGUGUCGGGUGGGAGAUAGUUUUUUUUUUCUUGCCUUUUCAGAUAUGGAAACUGACCUGGAGGAUAAGGAAGGGCAUAUUAAGUAUAAAAAUCCCAUUCAGUACAAAGUGCAUAAAGAUCUAAUAAUUUUUCAUAUUAAUAUACGUUUCUUGAAAUUGGAAAAAUUGGAGUUUAAAAUCUCUAUUAUUUUGGGAUCAACGGCUCAAAACAUAAGUUUCCCAUUCUUGGGAAAACUUGGUUAUGGGUUGUUGAUUCCAAAAUAUUAGGAUUUUCAACCCGCAACUAUGGGAAAAUCAAGAAAUAUGUGUUGAUGUAAAAAAUAUUGGCAAUUCCAUGCACUCUGCACUGAGGUGUACUUUCAUUCCCAAAAUACCCUCCCCAUUCGUCCAGCUCAGCCUCCACAUAUGAGUACCCAAAAAACCUUAAAAGCCCCCCCCCCCUCACCCCCACCUUCCAAAAAAAAAAAAAAAAAGUCUCACAUUUUUCACUCCAACGCCAACUCUCUCUACAUAAACCCAAAACUCCAUUUGUUUCUGGAACCCUAAAAUUUUGGAACCCUAAUCUCUGCCUGGUCUUUCUCUUCAUCUUGAAAACCCAAAUCCUUGAAAGCCUAACCUCAUUUAUGUUUUCAGAGGGUGAGAUAGGAGUCGUCACCAACACUGGAUUUUCAUUUUUCCGAAUGAGAGUAAUAGGUUAGGGAUUUUUUGGUUUUUGGAAUCAAAGAAAAAUGAGGCAGAGAGGUUUUGUAAUGAGAGGAAAAGGUUAGGGGUUUUCGGUUUUCGUAGAUGAGAGGAAGAUAAAAAAGGUUAGGGUGUUUUGGUUUUCCAAAAUAAGAGGAUAACAAGGAAGAUUAGGGUUUAGUUUCAAGGUAUAGUGUCCAUGGGAGAUAAAACAAUUUGUUUGCUUUUCAUUUCUGGUAGGGUGUCGGGUGGGAGAAAUUUUUUUUUUCUUGCCUUUUAAGAUAUGGAAACUGACCUGAAGGAUAAGGAAGGGCAUAUUAGGUAUAAAAAUCCCAUUAAGCACAAAGUGCAUAAAGAUCUAAUAAUUUUUCACAUUAAUAUACGUUUCUUGAAAUUGGAAAAAUUGGAGUUGAAAAUCUCUAUUAUUUUGGGAUCAACCGCUCAAAACAUAAGUUUCCCAUUCUUGGGAAAACUUGGUUAUGAGCUGUUGAUCCCAAAAUAUUAGGAUUUUCAACCCGCGACUUUGGGAAAAUCAAGAAAUCUGCGUUGAUGUAAAAAAUAUUGGCAAUUCCAUGCACUCUCCACCGAGGUGUGCUUUCAUUCCCAAAAUGCCUUCCCCAUUCGUCCAGCUCAGCCUCCACAUCUGAAUACCCAAAAAACCUUAAAAGCCCCCCCACUCUCCCAAAAAAAAAAAAACGUCUCACAUUUUUCACCCGGACGCCAACUCUCUCAACGGAAACCCAAAACUCCAUUUGUUCCCUGAACCCUAACCUCUGCCUCGUCUUUCUCUUCAUCUUGAAAACCCAAAUCCUUGAAAGCCUAACCUCAUUUGCGUUUUCAGAGGGUGAGAUAAGAGUCGUCGCCAGCACUGGAUUUUCAUUUUUCCGAAUGAGAGUAAUAGGUUAGGGCUUUUUGGGUUUUCGGAAUCAGAGUAAAAUAAGGCAGAGAGGUUUUGUAAUGAGAAGAAAAUGUUAGCGGUUUUUGGUUUUCGUAGAUGAGAGGAAGAUAAAAAAGGUUAGGGUGUUUUGGUUUUCCAAAAUAAGAGAAUAACAAGGAAGAUUAGGGUUUAGUUUCAAGGUUCAGUGUCCAUGGGAGAUAAAGCAAUUUGUUUGCUUUUCUGUUCUAGUAGGGUGUCGGGUGGGAGAUAGUUUUUUUUUUUUUUCUUGCCUUUUAAGAUAUGGAAACCUGGAGGAUAAGGAAGGGCAUAUUAGGUAUAAAAAUCCCAUUCAGUACAAAGUGCAUAAAGAUCUAAUAAUUUUUCACAUUAAUAUACGUUUCUUGGAAUUGGAAAAAUUGGAGUUUAAAAUCUGUAUUAUUUUGAGAUCAACCGCUCAAAACAUAAGUUUCCCAUUUUUGGGAAAACUUGGUUAUGGGUUGUUGAUUCCAAAAUAUUAGGAUUUUCAACCCGCGACUUUGGGAAAAUCAAGAAAUCUGCGUUGAUGUAAAAAAUAUUGGCAAUUCCAUGCACUCUGCACCGAGGUGUGGUUUCAUUCCUAAAAGACCCUCCCUAUUCGUCCAGCUCAGCCUCCACAUCUGAAUACCCAAAAAACCUUAAAAGCCCCCCCUCCCCCACCUUCCCAAAUAAAAAAAAAAAAAAAGUCUCACAUUUUUCACCCCAACGCCAACUCUCUAUACAGAAACCCAAAACUCCAUUUGUUCUUGGAACCCUAAAAUUUUGGAACCCUAAUCUCUGCCUGGUCUUUCUCUUCAUCUUGAAAACCCAAAUCCUUGAAAGCCUAACCUCAUUUGCGUUUUCAGAGGGUGAGAUAGGAGUCGUCACCAACACUGGAUUUUCAUUUUUCCGAAUGAGAGUAAUAGGUUAGGGCUUUUUAGGUUUUCAGAAUCAGAGCAAAAUUAGGCAGAGAGGUUUUGUAAUGAGAGGAAAAUAUUAGGGGUUUUUGGUUUUCCUAGAUGAGAGGAAGAUAAAAAAGGUUAGGGUGUUUUGGUUUUCCAAAAUAAGAGGAUAACAAGGAAGAUUAGGGUUUAGUUUCAAGGUAUAGUGUACAUGGGAGAUAAAACAAUUUGUUUGCUUUUCUGUUCUGGUAAGGUGUCGGGUGGGAGAUAGUUUUUUUUUUUCUUGCCUUUUUAGAUAUGGAAACUGACCUGAAGGAUAAGGAAGGGCAUAUUAGGUAUAAAAAUCCCAUUAAGCACAAAGUGCAUAAAGAUCUAAUAAUUUUUCACAUUAAUAUACGUUUCUUGAAAUUGGAAAAAUUGGAGUUUAAAAUCUCUAUGAUUUUGGGAUCAAUCGCUCAAAACAUAAGUUUCCCAUUCUUGGGAAAACUUGGUUAUGGGCUGUUGAUCCCAAAAUAUUAGGAUUUUCAACCCGCGACUUUGGGAAAAUCAAGAAAUCUGCGUUGAUGUAAAAAAUAUUGGCAAUUCCAUGCACUCUCCACCGAGGUGUGCUUUCAUUCCCAAAAUGCCUUCCCCAUUCGUCCAGCUCAGCCUCCACAUCUGAAUACCCAAAAAACCUUAAAAGCCCCCCCACCCUCCAAAAAAAAAAAAACGUCUCACAUUUUUCACCCUGACGCCAACUCUCUCAACGGAAACCCAAAACUCCAUUUGUUCCUGGAACCCUAAUCUCUGCCUCGUCUUUCUCUUCAUCUUGAAAACUCAAAUCCUUGAAAGCCUAACCUCAUUUGCGUUUUCAGAGGGUGAGAUAGGAGUCGUCGCCAACAUUGGAUUUUCAUUUUUCUGAAUGAGAGUAAUAGGUUAGGGCUUUUUGGGUUUUUCGGAUUCAAAGUAAAAUGAGACAGAGAGGUUUUGUAAUGAGAGGAAAAUGUUAGGGGUUUUUGGUUUUCGUAGAUGAGAGGAAGCUAAAAAAGGUUAGGGUGUUUUGGUUUUCCAAAAUAAAAGGAUAACAAGGAAGAUUAGGGUUUAGUUUCAAGGUUCAGUGUCCAUGGGAGAUAAAGCAAUUUGUUUACUUUUCUGUUCCGGUCGAGUGUCGGGUGGGAGAUAGUUUUUUUUUUCUUGCCUUUUCAGAUAUGGAAACUAACCUGGAGGAUAAGGAAGGGCAUAUUAGGUAUAAAAAUCUCAUUAAGCACAAAGUGCAUAAAGAUCUAAUAAUUUUUUACAUUAAUAUUCAUUUAUUGAAAUUAGAAAAAUUGGAGUUUAAAAUCUCUAUUAUUUUGGGAUCAACCGCUCAAAACAUAAGUUUGUCAAGAUUCUUUCCAUUUUAAAAAUAUUCUUCUAGAUAAUCUUCCCAACCAAAUUUAUUUGUCUUUCAUUCAACAAAACAAUAGACCUUUGACUUUGUGGUGGACUUAUAAAAAUAUCUCCAAGAUAUGAGCAAGGACUAAAAAAAUAUCUCUAAGGCAAUGAGCAAUUUAUUUCAUUAAUUUGAAUUUAUUAAGCCUUUGGGCUGCUUUUAAUAAUAAUGAUAAUUUAAUUAGUCAAGUCAAGUGCAAAUUUAUCAUUUUAAUCAAUAUUAUCCCUUCAAGAGAAAAAAAUUUUCCCACUAAACAUUUUCAAAAAAAAAAAAUGAAAAAAAGGAUAUUACUUAAAAAUAAUUUAUUAUGUAGAUAUUUCUUUUAUUACAAGCUAUCAAUCACAUCUUAAUGAUUUUUUUUUUCUAAUUGAAACUUUGAAAUUUCUGCAGAUCUACUAGAAGCCCAGCACCACUCAAUAGACUGGAAGCCUUUUGAACACCAACAUUCAAAAGAAAGUGAUUGAUAUUCAAAUCUAAAUAAUAAUAUAAUUUAUACUUCAUAUUUAAAUUAAUUUUGACUACCAAUAUCCACUUAUCCAUUCACCUUUCCAAAUGCCUCUAAUUUAACUCUUCAAAUCCUCCUAUUGGAUUGAUUAUGGACUUAUUUCAAUUAAAACAAAUAUUUAUAGAUGUUAAAUAAAAAAUUAAUUUUAUUUUUAUUUAUCAAUAUGUUAGAAUUAUUUUUUAUAAAGAAAACGUGGAUAAAAAAAUGUAUUAAUAUGAAAACUAAUGAUGUGUUUGGUAAUUGUUUUCAAGAAUAAUUUUUUAUUUUUUAAAAUAAAAAAACUAAAAAAUACGAUUAAAUAAUUAGAAAACUAUUUUUUAUUUUCUAUUCUCAAAAACAAAAAACAAGAUGUUUUCAAAAAAUAUUUUUUAAUUGUUUUUAUCUAUUUUUUAACUACUUAAAAAAAUUAUACAAAUAUAUAUAAUGAUUAAAAAUAGACAUGAAAAUUAUUUUUUAAAAUAUUAAAGAUAGGUUAAAAAUAUUUUAAUUUCUCAAAUAGAUUUUUAUUUUACAAAACAUCGUACAACAAUAGUUUUAAAAAAUUAUUUUAAAAAACUAUUUCUAAUAACAGUUACCAAACAUCACCUAAAUCUCACUCUUAUUAGGAUUAUGAUUCCCCAAAUUUUUUUUUUCUUCAAUUCUUAUUCUAUUUCUAUUCAUGUUCCCAAAUACUAAAAACACCUUAAAAACAAAAACAAAAAAAAUAAAAACAAAAAGCAAAAAGUUUUCUUUUAGGUUUUGCAUAGAUGAGAGAAAGAGUUAGAAUUAAAGUAAAAUAUGAUAAUAAUUUUUUUCAUGUUUGAUUUUAUCAUAAAAAUAAUAAAAAUUAGUUAAAAAAAUUAUAUAUUUUUAUCUUAUUUAACUUUUAUAGUGAAAUAAAUAUAUAAUAAUAUAUCAAAAUAAUUUAUUAAUUAAAAAAAUUAUUUUCUAUUUUUUCACGUAUUUUCAGGGGGCAAAAAAAAAAAAUCUCUCAAAAAGGCUAUCAGUCUCCUUUGGUGGCACCGUGGCGUGGCAGCAGCUCAUCUCAGCCUGUUAGUUUGGUGCCGACUUUCCCUCUGACUUGUCCUUUUUUAAUAAUUUAAAAAUCAUGUCAUUUUUUUUCCCUCUUCCUUUAACCUUUUUUUUUAUAUAUAUAUAUUGAAUCCAUGCAAUAAUCGGUCAUACUUGCCAACUUGGUUCCUCGAAAGUAACGGUGAAGGAAAAAAAAAUGUUAAAAAAGUAUAAUUUUAUCGCAUUUGAUUGUAUUAUAAAAAAAAGUUAAAUAUAAUUAAAACUAUUAAAAAAUCAUAUUUUUAAAUUAUUUAAUUUUUAUAUAAAAAUGUUAAAUAAGUAAAAAAAAAAUUAAAAUAGUAUAUAAAAUAACUUAUUACCUUUAAACUUAUUUUUUAUUUUUUUUUUACAUUUUUUUAGAUAGUAAAAAUAUUUUAAUACCUUAAUUAUUUUAAUCAGAUGUUAAAAAUUUUACAUUUUUUAUGUUGGUCUUUAAGAGUUUUAUAUAUUUUAUAAAAAUUAUUAUUAUUUUCUAUAUCCAAAACCGAUGGCAAGGCUUUGUCCAAACAUAUUCUUGUUUAUUUUUAAAAUUAGAAACUUCUAUAUAAAAAGUAUAUGCUUAUGGUAAGAAUUUUUUUAAUACCUAGAUAUUUUAAUUAUUUUAAUAAAUCAUAUGUACUUUUGGAUUAUUUAAAUGAACACAUUGUCUCAAUCCCAUGAGAUAUCAUGGGAUCUUUAUUAAAAAUGUCUAUUGCUACCAACCUUCAUUGAUAAUGAUCUAAUUUAUAAGGAUAUAUGACUAUUUUAGGAUUCACCUAGAAGUUAAAGUCUCCUAUUAAUUUCAACACAUAUUUAAUAUCAUCUCAAUAUAUAUAGAAUGAAUGAAGUAUAGGAGCUUGAUAAAUAAAUCAUGAUAUUUGGUAGCCUUGCAUCAUGAUUUAUCAUAGGUCUAAUCCAGUAUGCAUCAUAUAUACUAGUGAACUCAAUAUAAGAAACUUAUCCCAACAUCCAGGAUAAAUCAAUCAUCUAAUUAGGAGGUGGUGUGCAUUACAGUCUUUAUUGAAUUACCUAAAUCUAUGAAGCCUUUAAAAAUUUAUAUAUUUUAUAUAAAAGUUACUUUUAUUUUCUAUUUCUAAAAACAAAAAAAAUAAAAAAUAAAAAUAAAUCUAAACAAUCCUUUGAAUAGUGGCUUGGUUUUUUUUUUCUUUCAUUUUUAAAAUAAAAAACUUCUAUAUAAAUUUGAACAUAUACAAAAAGUAUAGAAUUAUUUUUAAAUCACUGUCAUUAAUUUUAAAAUUUGAGCUAAUAAAAAAAUUUAUAACUCAAAUUUUAAAAUAAUUUUUGUUUUAUAUAAGUGUACCAAAGUUUUGCAUUUUAUAUAAAAUUAAUUAUUAUUUUUUAUUUUAAAAAUAAAAAAUAAGAAGUGUAUUCAAAUGUUUACCGACACUAAGUUAUAUAAUUAUAAAAUUUGGAUGGUAGACUAAUAUAAUAUACAGUCUAGGGCUGCCUAGAAAGGUUAUAUGCAUAAAGAGAGAACUUUUUCUAUAUCUAAUUUUCUGGGAUUCUUCUUCAUAGUUGGUGGGCACUUGCUGGCCUUAGUGAUGUUUGUGUUUGUUAGUUACCAAUUUCCAAUCACCAUUUUCUAGAGAAAGUGAUGGGGACAGCUUGGACCCAGGACCCUUGACCACUGUAUCUUCUAGCACGUGCUUUUUAGUUUUUACUUUUUUAGUGAAGCUACAACUUCAUUGAAUUGGAGUCCAUACCCAAGUCAAUGUUAAUAUUUUUAUGUCAAAUAAUUCUUUAUAAAUUCCUCUUAUUUUAAUUCUUUCUCACACAAUUCUUUAUUCUCUCUUUUUAUAUUGGUUACAAUUCUCUUUAAUAUCUCUUUCUACAAUUUUUUAAGUUUAAAUUCUCUAUAAGUACUUCAAUUCAAGGCUUCAAGUUAUCUAUUAUCCACAAGUGUUCAUUAAUUACAAGUUCUACCAAAAUACUUUUGGGCCGAAGCGGUUAACACUUCUUGUUAUGUUUUAAAUAGAGUUUUAUUAAGGCCUAUCCUUAAGAAAACUCCCUAUGAGCUUUGGAAAAACAAGAAACCCAACAUUAACUAUUUCAAAGUCUUUGGGUGCAAAUGCUUUAUAUUAAACACCAAAGACAAUCUUGAAAAAUUUGAUGCAAAAUCGGAUGUUGGAAUUUUUCUUGGUUACUCAACUUCAAGUUAAGCCUUUAGAGUUUUUAACAAAAGAACCAUGGUAGUUGAGGAGUCCAUCCAUGUUAUUUUUUAUAAAUCUAACAAUUCUCUCCAAGAAAGAAAGAACUUUGAUGAUGAUUUAGGCUUGGAGACCUCCAUGGGAAAAUUACAAAUUGAAGAUAGAAGGCAACAAAAAGAAGUUGUAGAUGAUCCCAAGAAAGAAGAAUCACCUUUGGCACUACCUCCCCCUCAACAAGCGCAAGGUGAAUCAAGCCAAUACCUCCCUAAAGAUUGGAAGUUUGUCAUCAACCACCCACAAGAUCAAAUUAUAGGUAAUCCAUCUAGUGGGGUAAGAACUAGAUCAUCCCUUAGAAAUAUUUGCAAUAAUCUUGCUUUUAUCUUUCAAAUUGAACCUAAAAAUAUAAAAGAUUCUCUAGUUGAUGAAAAUUGGAUGAUUGCCAUGUAAGAAGAGUUAAAUCGAUUUGAAAGAAGUGAAGUAUGGGAAUUAGUGCCAAGACCUCAAAAUCAAAGUGUUACUGGAACUAGAUGGGUCUUUAGAAACAAAAUGGAUGAAAAUGGCAUAAUUAUAAGGAAUAAAGCAAGAUUGGUAGCCUAAGGUUUUAAUCAAGAAGAAUGGAUAGAUUAUGAAGAAACCUUUGCUCCCGUAGCUAGAUUGGAAGCCAUUAGGAUGCUACUUGCCUUUGCAUGUUUUAAAUACUUUGUUUUAUAUCAAAUGGAUGUGAAAAGCGCUUUCUUAAACGGCUUUAUAAAUGAAGAGGUAUAUGUUGAACAACCACCCGAUUUUCAAAGUUUUAACUUUCCUAAUCAUGUUUUUAGACUUAAAAAGGCACUUUAUGGUUUGAAACAAGCACCUAGAGCAUGGUAUGAAAGAUUGAAUAAUUUUCUUUUGAAAAAAGGGUUUAAAAUGGGAAAUAUUGACACAACUCUUUUCAUAAAAACCAAAGAAAAUGACAUGCUCUUAGUACAAAUAUAUGUUGAUGAUAUCGUUUUUAGAGCUACUAAUGUCUCUCUUUGUGAAAAAUUCUCUAAAUGCAUGCAUAGUGAGUUCGAAAUGAGCAUGAUGGGAGAACUUAACUUCUUCCUUGGACUUCAAAUCAAGCAACUAAAGGAAGGAACCUUCAUCAAUCAAGCAAAGUAUAUAAGAGAUCUCCUCAAAAGGUUCAAUAUGGAGGAAGCCGAAACAAUGAAGACUCCAAUGAGUUCAUCCAUCAAGCUUGACAUGGAUGAGAAAGGUAAGCCCGUCAACUCAACUAUGUAUAGAGGCAUGAUAGGUUCUUUACUAUAUUUGACCGCUAGUAGACCUGACAUCAUGUAUAGUGUAUGCUUGUGUGUUAGAUUUCAAUUUUGUUCUAAGGAAUCUCAUUUAAGUGCUAUAAAACGAAUUCUUAGAUAUUUAAAAGGGACUAUGGACAUAGGCCUAUGGUAUCCUAAGGGUGAUAACUUUGAAUUAAUUGGAUACUCGGAUGCCGACUUUGCCGGUUGUAAAGUUGAGAGGAAAAACACUAGUGGCACUUGUCAUUUCCUAAGACACUCACUUAUUUCAUGGCAUAGUAAGAAGCAAAAUUCGGUAGCUUUGUCUACGGCGGAAGCCGAAUACAUAGCAGCCGAUUUAUGUUGUGCACAAAUCCUUUGGAUGAAACAAACACUUAGUGAUUUCAAUGUAAUUUUUGAGCAUGUUCCUAUAAAAUGUGAUAACACUAGUGCCAUAAACAUUUCAAAAAAUCCGGUACAACACUCUAGGACUAAGCAUAUAGAGAUAAGACAUCAUUUUCUUAGAGACCAUGCACAAAAGGGUGACAUUACACUUGAAUUUGUAAGCACAAAAGAUCAACUUGUUGAUAUUUUUACAAAACCCCUAAGUGAAGAGCAAUUUGUUGAUAUUAGAAGACAACUAGGGGUGAUUUCUUUAUGAUCAAAUGAUUGCUUAAUGAAUUCUUGUUGAUAUUACUCUUGAAUUUACCCUAUGAUUGCGUGAAAUUCAUAUUAUAUGCAUAAUAUAGAAAUAAUCAUAGGAAAGAUGUCAAAUUUUGACCAAAAAUCAAAAUUCCCAUGGCAUUGGACAUAAAAAAUUGGGGAUUUCAAUUGAAAAGGGCAGGGGGAGGAUCACGAGACAAGAAAAUGAAACAAAAUUUGGAAAAAUUAACCGUUGACCGUUGACCAGGCGGUCGACCGGUUCGUCGGGGCUAGGAAUUUAAAACGCCCCCCCCCCCCCCCUUGCACUUCAUUUCUCACAUUUUCUCCUCCAUAGCUUGCCACCCCUUCACAUACCUGCUUCUAGAGGCCAUUUUGAGUUGGAUUUUGGAUUGAUUGAAGGCUUGGACUUGUUUUUGGGACAGAUUGGUCAGGCGGUCGACCAGUUCGUCGGGGCUAGGAAUUUAAAACGCACCCCCCCCCUCCCCUUGCACUUCAUUUCUCACAUUUUCUCCUCCAUAGCUUGCCACCCCUUCACAUACCUACUUCUAAAGGCCAUUUUGAGUUGGAUUUUGGAUUGAUUGAAGGCUUGGACUUGUUUUUGGGACGGAUUUGAGGUAGGGCUUUGAUUUGAAACCUAGGGUUUUAGCUUUUAGGAGCGUCUUCUCUCUGCACCGCGCGCCUUAGGGUCUGUUUAGCUCCAUCUUUGUGCAUCUAGGGCUUCGGGUUGGUGGUUUCUCCUUCCUAUUUGCUUUCAUUCUCAUUUUGGCCUUCUCCUUCUCAUUUUUGUUCCAUUAGAUGGCACCAAGGCGAGAGACGGGCACUUCUAGGGCUCAGGGCAAGCGCCCUGUUGAGCCAUCUCAACUCGAGCAGACGGAGGCUCGUCGAAAGGCGAGAUAUGACACGGCACUUUUCAGUUCGAAUGAAGACUAUCAGCGCUACAAGCAAAAUUUUGCCUAGAGGAAAGUCGUCUCUGGGAGAAGUGUCAAUUUCUCCCAACUUCAACACUUCAAGUUUGAGGGGCUAGUCGGUCGGAUGGGAUGACUGCCAGUUGUGAAGAUCUCUGAGCUGAUCUUCCCGACUCUAGUGCGGGCUUUUUAUUCUCGGGCGACCUACGGGCUUAGAGGACUCGUAUUAUCCACUAUGAGAGGAGUUGAGAUCAGAUUGAAUCCCAAGAGUAUCUGUCGCAUUCUCGACAUCCCUUCGAUUGGACUUCGAGCGUAUGAGGCCAAGGCGUGGCCCACUGUGCCGGGAUUUGAGCCCAAAGAGGCUGUUCAGAGGUUGUGCAGCCUCGUUGAUCCCUAGGGGAUGGGCAAACCAUUGGCUCAAUGCCUGAUCGUGACCAACCGAGUCCUUCACCACAUGAUCUGCUCUAUUUUCUUGCCACGUGGAGGACAUCGAGACGAGGUCUCCUACCUCGAGGCUUUUAUUGUGGACUCGAUCCUCACUGAGAGACGGAUUCACAUGGGAUACUUGAUGAUGAUGCAUAUGAUCUCCUGCGUUGAGAGCAUGACCCGAGUACUCCCCUACGACCGCUUCCUUACCCGAGUUUUCAAGGAUGUCGGGGUCAACUUGAGUAGAGAGAUGGGUUUCGAGGCCCCCACCAAUUAUGACAUGUAUGAUUAGCAGUUUUUGGGGCGCAUGAAGUUCGAGAAGGCACCCGAUGGCUCCUGGGUUAGGAAAGCCGAGCGACAGGCCCGAGGAUAAGAUCAGAUACAUCCCGGAGUAGAGGAGGAAGUCGAGAUCAAAGAGAUGGAGGAUGGGUUAGACCCUCAGAGGGACUUUGAGAAGAGAGGGCCCGAGCUUGACAUUCCGCCUCUACCUCAGGUAAAGGGCAUUCAUGUUGAGGCUACCUUCUCAUAGCCUAUGAUGAUUGAGCCGUCUUUCACAGCAGGCCCUUCAUCUCAACCAUCAUUUACCGAGCUACCAUCUCAGGCACCUCACGUUCUUGAUCAUGCGCCUUGGAUGGAUGUCUCCGCUUAGAUCAGCUCUCUUGGGACUUGUAUGGAGGAGCUUGCCUUAGUCCAUGACUCUCGCUUCUACUCUAUGAAGGAGCACCUAGAUCAGUAUCAAACUGGAGUCACUUCUCGGUUUGAUCACUUCCAGCAGCGAUUUGAGCUCAUAGAGGAGCGUAUGGAUUAGCAGCAGGCUACCUUUGACCAUCUCUAGCAGCACAUUGAUCGUAUUGAGAGCCGUCAUGCGAGUCAGCAUGAGGAGAUGAUGGCAUAUCUCCGCUUUGUGUUUCCUCCUCCACCCCUCAGCCUUGAGACUAUCUAGACAUCCCCUUCCGUUUCUUUUUUAUGUUGCCAAAUGGGGAGAAAUUUAUAGGAUCUAGGAGACUCUCAUGCAUGUCAUUGUUAUCAUAGUCAUAUCUAUCUUGUUUCUACAUGUGAGGUUUCAUUUCCAUAUAUAUAUGAUAUGAUAUUUUUAUGAUCCAUUGUUCAUUUUUCGUGUUUUACAUUGCUUCCUAUUAAAAAUCGUUUGAUUAAUCCAUGAUUGGUUUGAGGGGGAGAUUUUUUUUCUCUCCUAGAUAACCAAGGUUUGUCAUCAUAAAAAAAGGGGAGAUUGUUAGCCCAAGGGUUCUCCUAAUCGGGUUUUGAUGAUAACAAACUAUGGUUAAGUGACUAAUUGGUUCAAAUGUUUAAGAAUCUCAGGUAUAAACUCGAAAAUUCAUCAAAUGACCAAAUGGAUACAAGAUCGAGACGCUUGGAAGACUUGUGAUCAUAGGAAACUAAUGUAAGAUGAAUGCAUGAGUGCACUUAGGAUUUUUAUACGUUUCAUGCAUCUUAGAAAACUCGGUUUAUUAUUUAAAACGUUAACUUCAUUAAAACCCGAGUUUUAAACUAAUGUACCCUAAGCAAAAUGUUUUAUAAUUGGCUUAAUAAUUUACCUAAAGACCUUGACUAAGUGUUAGAAAAGAAAGGAAUAAAAAAAAUAGGUUUUCGGGGCCAAAAAGGCUCAACCGGUCGAGGCUAUGGUCAACUGGUCAACCGAUUGAGGAACCAGUCGACCGGUUGUGGUCGUCCGGUCGAGGAAGGUCAAAAAUCUUAUCUCUUUCCCAGUAGCCUUCUCUUCCCGAUCAAGGUGAUUCCCUUACCGGUCGAGGACCGAUCGAGGUCCAGUUUAGGCAACGAUAACCUGUCAUGCAUUAAAUGUUCCAAUGGCUAGUGAACCGAUCGACCCCUAGCUCAACCGGACGAGGUUACCUCUUGCUGUUUUUGACUCCUAAGCUUAGAAACCUAUAAAUUGAGGCUCCACUUCAUUUAUUGAGAAGAGAAUACUUGCAUUCAAAGCCUACCUACCUGCUCUUGAUCAAAAAGCUCUCAUUUCCUUCAUAAGUGCAUUAAAUCACCACUUGCAUAUCCUUUAGUGCACUCUUGUGUGUCAUCCUAGCUUUGUCUUGUAUUUGAGCCAUCCUUAAGCUAGGUUGAGUGAUUAUAUCUUGUAACAAUAUGAGUGUUAAUGCCUUCAAGAGGGUUGAAUCUUGAAGAGGUUGUGUAAGAUCUCAUUGGAGCCAGAAUCCAAGUGUAAGAAGAUUGGAAGCUUGGUUGAAGCUUCAAGUUAGUGGAACCCUCACUCGGUUAGGAGGUUGAGGAGAGUGGACGUAGGCAAGGAAGUGUCGAACCACUAUAAACCCGAGUUUGAAUUCUCUAAACUCUAUCUCUUUACUUUGCUUAUAUUUUGUUUAAAUUUGUUGUGGUUGAAAAGAUUUUAAAAACCCAAUUCACCCCCCCCUUUUUUGAGUGUUUUUCUUAACUAAGCAUAGCCUUUGUUUUCUCAACUACUAUUGUGUGUUUUUUUGUAUAGAACACUACACCUUGUAUAGUACUUACAUGUAUUUGUAACAUGAGUGAUAUGUUUCAACAAUAUAAGAAAUAUCCCAUUUUUAGUGAAAUAUGUGUACAAAUGGAUUUUUUUUUUUGAAAUAUUAGAAGACCAUUCCACCACUUUAUUGUUUAGUUGCUUGUAUGAAUCUACAAGUUAAGGUUGAAAGUGUAGAAAACAUUUUAAAUUUCAUAGGUACUUGUAUGAACCAACCAUAAAACCAAAGUGUAAGAUGUAUGAACAAUUAAACAACUUAUAUAAAUAUUAUGAGAAUAAAUAUGAUAGUCUCUUUAAGUACUAUAACUCUAUCUGCAUUUGGGAAUGAUUCAUUCUAAAUGCAAUUAGCUAAGGGAAAGCGACAAGUUGGUCCUUCAAAUAGGGGUGGAUCUUUCAAAAUAUUUAAAUACUGAUUAUUGUUCAUAUUUAUCCCUUAAUGAAGUAAAAAAAAUUUGAUAUUAUGAACUGGCAGAAAUCUCAUGAAUCCACUUUUCCUAUGCUAUCUAAAAUGACACGUGAUCUACUAACUCCACCAGUUCUACUGUAGCAUGGAAAUCUGCUUUUUAUAUAGUUACAAAUAUAGUAGGAGAUAGGAGGACUCCAAACUUUGAAAGAUGAACUUAAAAAAAAAAACCUCAAGAAAUUUGAUCUCAAUACAAACAAUGAUGUUAAAGAGAUUGAUGACGAUUGAAGAUGAAGAAUGAAAAUGAAAAAAGAAUAAUGAAGAUUGAAUAAGAAGACAAAAGUGAAUAUGAUAAUUGAAGAAUUAUACGUUGUUCAUUUCCUUUAAAUAUAUUAAAUGUAGCUAAUUUUUA
rnacentral:lncRNA from 1 species